AAUGGGUAUACCAAAAUAAUAUCACAAACAGACAAUGUUGCAGAAAUUUGAAAAUUUUAGUAGCAUAAUCUCCUUUUUAAAUUUUACAAUGAUUUCAUGUCAUGCCAAAAUGACGUGAGAACUUUUAAUUAUAAAAAUCAUAUACUAACAUAGCAUGAUAAAAUUACAUAAUAAUUCACAAUUGACCAUGAGUAGUUUUAAAAUAACCUUUAGCAUGUCCAUAAUGUAUCAAAAUCUCCCUUUAAGAUAAGAACAUAAUUCAAAAGGGAAACCAAAACGCCCAGUCAUUAGUGUGUGUUGAAAACUGAAAUAUAAUGGAACGAAGUUACCCGAAAAAAUGUAAAAGCCUUGAGUGGUGAAUGAUUCUUGAGAUGAGUCGCGGACUAAGUCGCUCUCUUUAAGACUUUUCGCGGCUCUGCCCAAAGUGUGCAAGCAGUUCACAAACACCACGUCGUCCCCAGGAUAAAACAGCCCAGAACCUUCUUCUGAUAAGAUUCUUCCUUGCACACCGGAAGAACCUUCGAACUAAACCUUUUCGAUAUGUUGCUUUUUAAAUUAAUAUGUAAAACUAUUUUUUCUUUCUCUGUUAGCUACUGAACCUACGCAUCACUAGUGUGUGUGUAUAUAUAUAUUAUGUAUAUAAAGAGACGUUGAGGGGGUAAUUGGGAUUGCAAAACCGUUGCAAAUCAAAACGGACAAAUCAUAAAAGCCACAACGGGACAAAAUCAAAACAUAAGUAAAUUCAAACCGGAAAUAAAAACAAAACGGUUUGAUUGCAUAACUCCUUAAGCCAAAAUCAAUUUGACUUUUAAUAUUGGUAAUAAAGCAAAAUGUUGUGUAUAUAAUAUUGGUAGUAAAACAAAACAUAAAUAUAUUUAAAUAUUUAAAUAAAAACAUAUUUGUUCCAACAGUGUGUGUAUUUGAGAAAUUUCCCAAAAGCAUUUGAGUCUCAACUUUGCAAUUUUAUUUGAAGAUGAAAGUCACAAAGGACAAACGUAGCAAAGAAAGUCUCAACAUUAAUUGGUCCCAACUAUCAGUGAUAGAAGCAUAAGGGAAAUCAAAAGUUACCAAAUUCUUAUUACUGAAGAGGGAUUCUUUCAGGCAUAACAAUAGAUGGAAGCGUAAUCAACUUAAUUAAUAUGUAUGGGAAAGUUAGUUUCCAAAAGCAGAUGGACUUUAUAUUCAAAUUAGUUCAACUAAUCAACUAAUACACCAAAGUGGCCAUACCAUUAUUCUUGUAAACCAUUACUCAAAAAUAUGUAGCGGACUGGAAUAAACGAAAUUAAAUGCAAUUGAGGAAAAUCCUCAAAGCCUCAUUCUAGGCAUUAGGAAUUGAAGGCCCAGAAAACAUAAAAUGUGAACAUGAUAUAAGAUCACAAUGGCUAACCCAAAUGAUCUCCUGACAGCAAGUGAUUCACAUUGAAAAACCUUCGAAAACAACCGAAAUUUUAAACCUGAUCAUUGACAUGGUGCACUAGAAGAGAGAAGCGUGCAAAAUAAUUAUUAAUUUAAAAUGGGAUUCCAAAACAAGGAACCCUAACCAUUGCCCAGGAGCAACACAAAUGCCAUCCAAGCGGAUCAAAGCCAAUCUUGAUAUUAAUCAUGUUAAAAAAAUAAUAAUAGUUAAAUCAAAUUAGUUAGAUGCAUAUGUGUCAAGCCUUCGAACUUUAAAUCCAAUGCAAAAUUAUUAUUAAUUAGAUAUAUAUAUUAGAGGUAUAGCCAUAUAUAAAGCAAUCAGAUUUGCUUCUUAAUUAAUCAUUAUCACGACAUGGCUAAGAAAACUUAUCUUUAUGUUUUCCCAUGACAGCAAAACAAAACCAUUUUUUAUAAUUACAUGAGAAUCAUGAAGUCAGAAAAGUGAUUAUAAAAAUACUCUAAAAAUAAGCGGAAGCCUCAGGAUCGAUAAGUAAAAGACCUUUAACUAAACACAAACUAAUUGUGCCUUCAGUUUGUCAAAAAUUUGUUCAAACAGAUUACCUUUAAACUGAACCCCCAAGCUUUGCAAAUUCCCUAGCAGUUUCGUAUCUGUAGACAAAAAUAAUACAACUACACGCAGAAGCAGUUUCUGCAGAUGGGUCAGAUUAAAUAAAAACUAAUAAUAAUAACAUCUAAAUAAUUAUUUGCAAAGCCAAUAUGAUAAUCGCUCCACAUAUUGAAUUAUCAGCAAUUAAAUCAAUGAAUCAUAUUAUUCGCGGAAGCAUUACACAUUGUAAAGGAUAAAAAGUUAUGGCAUGAUAUUUGAUCGUUACCAUUAUAUUCAAAACCAACCAUGAUCGAAAUUCUGAAUCCUAGACAAGUUGAGAGGCUCUGAUACCACAUGUAAGAUUACUAGAAUCACAGAUAUAACAAAUAUAACUACAAUAAAUCAAUCAAACAAUUAAAGGGAAAUAAACUUAUCUUCCAAAGCGGAGGAAGAAGAAGCCAUGACUGCUAGGGUUUCAAGGAGGAACGUCUACACUCUAGCAGCCGAGAGUCCUUGUGCACAGAAAUAGGGUUUUGCACUAGAAUAAGAUAAUGCUGUGAGUCCAGGGACCUCCUAAUAUAUAGACACUCAUCCCUUUAAUCCGGCCUAUUAACUAAUUAAAGGGAUAUUCCAAAUCAAUUAGGAUUUCAUUAUAGUCCUAAAUGGUAACAAAUUCUUUGUCAACUAAAUAAGGUUUUCAUAAUUAAUUGCACUAAAUAAGGACUCCUAACCUAACCAAAUAAGGCUCCAUAAUUUUCUACUCGGAUUGACCAAGUUACUGUAUGUCAAGAAACAGUAAGCACAUGUUCUUUGACACUCACAACUUACAGUAUGUUCGUAUCUUGGCACACCCUCUAAAACGUUAGACAGAAAGUUGAUCCUUUUUUUGGUUUGUUUUCAGAACCUUACAUGUUCAACCUCCACGAAGAAUGGAGCACAAUUGAGUGCAGCUGUUGCAGGAUCAGACACAAAUACAAGAAUGCCACCUUCAACUGCCGAAUAGAUAUGGAUUCAAAAGUGGGUUUGGUUCAAUAUAGUUUUACUGUUGCCUAAUAAGUUUGAGCUCUGCUGUUUUUCGUUCGGAUCAAGGUUUUCUUUAUUUCCCCCUUGUUAUGACAGGUUACUGGAACAUUAAGUAUGAAGUUUCUGUCAACCACAAAGACCGCAGCUUCAUUCAGCUUGCUGGAGUACAAAUCGGGCAAGGUACUGUUCUCAUUGUUUGAGCAAUUUUUUUGUUUGGAAACUCCUUGAAUUGGUGUUCUUGUUAUGAAAUCUGCGACACAAAAAAUAACAACAAAAUAAAAGAAAUUUCUGUUGCCGAAAUUGCUCACCCUUUUGAAGCUGCAUGAUAAUCACAUUUAAUUCAAAUUAUAAAACAACUCACUUGUCUUGAUUUCACAGCUCGGGUUUCAAACACGCCAAGAAUAUGGUGCCGCAGCUCUGUCUGUUUCUCUGUGCUAGUCCCCUGCAACCAACGUUUCAGCAACUGUCGAUAGUGCAAGCAUUGCCGUCGGUGUGGAGGCAGAAUACAAAACUGCUUCCAGCACUUUCUCCAAAUGUAGUGCAGGCAUUAGCAUGAAGAGUCUCAAUUCUGAUGCUUCAAUAAUUCUGUAAGUCGUUUCAUUUCAAUCUACAAACCCUAUAACUAUGAAGGCGGAUAAAGCGUCUGAUUUAAACUAAACUUAUCAACAAAUUUAACAACAAAUUUUGUAGAGGCCAAAUGCAGAUUUGAGUUACUGUUAUGCUAUCUUUGUGAUAUUUUUAGGGCAAACAAGGGUGACUUGCUAACAGCAUCGUACCUUUAUUAACUUGAUCAAGAAAAGAAGAGUGCAGCAGCGGUAGAGUUCACUAAGAACCACUCAAAAAAGAGAAGCACCUUGACAGUUGGAGGAUCGUGGGCGGUUGCUCAUCAAACAGUGGUCAAAGCUAGACUCGAUGUUCGCGGAGAUGUUAAGACUGUCCUGCAGUAUAGUAUUAGACCCAAGUCGUGCUUGUCUUUCCCGGGCGAGUUCAACGUCAAGGAACUUGAUAAGAUUCCUAAAGUUAGAAUGGCACUUUCUCUUGCUCUUUAAAUGAUUUCCCAAUUUUCAUAUGCAACUGAUGCAAUUCUUAUAUAGAUGUUUAUACUGAUAAAUUUUUCAAGAUCUGUAUGAUUCUAUCAGUUGAGAAAGCUUCCAGUUCAACAGGUCUAGUACUCUCACUUUCUUUUAAGUGUUGUUUUCUCAUAAAAAGGUCAAAAAACAGAAAGAAAAAAAAAUUUCUUUUCUUUUCAUUCACUUGCUACCCUAAACUUGAAUGUGGCCUAGUACGCGUCCUUAUUUCCUCGCCCUGCAAGAAAUAGGUUUCCAAUCGAACUGGGAGUAUCCCGCCCUCCACCGCCAUGCCUUCGAAUCGAGAAAAACUUGUUUGAGGUUUAACUUGCCAUUAAACUUUGCUGAGUGGCAGUACUAACCAUUCAAAACUUGUCAUGUGCUAAUUAUUAAGUAUAAUUUUAUAUCACACAAUUUUAUACCAUACAAUUUUAUACAAUUAUGUGUUACAAAAUUUAUACUCAAAACUCACCAUGUGGCAAGUUUUGAGUGGUUGGUAAUUUCACUCAGCACAGUCCAGUGACAAGUUAAAGAAAGAUUUUUAGUGUGACAGGAACACGAAGUAGUACACCACGUGUAACUACGUAAAUGGUGGGAUAUGUGUGUUAAAAAGUUAAUAACUUAAAAAAUAAAAUUUAAAUAAUUUCAUUUAUUCAAGGAUGGUAAUUAAUUAAAACUUAAUAUCCAAAAAAACAAAUCACCAAUAAAUAAUCCAAACAUAAGGGAAAAUUGUUCAAAAAAUCAACCAAAAACAAAGGAGGGGUUCGGCCACUUAGUGGAAUUCGGCCCCAAUUGUCUUAUUUCAGUUAAAAAAUAAGUAUCAUCUGGAGAGUCAGAAACCUCCAUCUUUGUAGUCUCUGAAUCGUCCACUUGCACGAAAUUUGAUUCAAACUUCUUACAACGAGAAUGAUAUUCAUCUACAACCUUCUUGGGAGCUAGGCAAACACGGGACCAAUGAUCAUUGGAACCACAGCGAUAGCACAUAUCUGCAUCCAUGGUUUCAGGUGCUUUGUCCUUAUUCUUGAAGUUCGGGGCCUUGGGAGUGAGGUUUGAGCACUUCGGGGCUUUGUUUCCUCCCUUGGAUGGGCCUUGACUAUGUUGACCUUGGUGGGAUGGCUUCUGGCCUCCCCUACCACGCCUCUUUUGGCGUUUUGGGCGUUGAUUAGUGCUAUAAUGCGCUUCAGGCACAUCAGUCGCCUUAGUAGGUUGAGCUUGAUGAUUCUUCAUCAACAGCUGGUUCUGCUUUUCAGCAAGAAGUAAAACAGAGAUCAAAUUCGAGAACUUGGUGAACUUUUGAGCUCUAUAUUGUUGCUGCAGGACAAUAUUAGAAGCAGAGAAGGUCGAAUAGGUUUUCUCCAGGAGAUCCUCUUCAGUCAAAGUUUCAUUGCAAAACUUGAGAGGUGAUCAGAUUCGACAAAUUUCAAAAUUAUAUUCAUUCACAGACUUAAAGUCUUGGAAGCGUAAGUGCUGUUGGAAGCGUAAGUGCUGUUAGUCGUUUCUUGCUUCAUGCAAGAAUAUGUCAUUUUGGUGAUCAAAAGGAUCAGCCAAAGCAACCCAUAAUGCACGUGGAUCUUCCUCAACAAGAUACUCAGUUUGUAGAGCGUCAUGGAUAUGUCUUCGAAUGAAGAUCAUAACAGUGGCCUUUUCAGCUUCGCCAACAUGUUCAUCUGUUGCUUCUUCAAUGGCAGGACGCAAGUUCUUUGCAGUGAGGUGGAACUUCACAUCUUAAACCCACUUGAGGUAGUUUCUUCCAGAGAACUCCAAAGCGGUGAAGUCGAGUUUGUUCAAAUUCGACAUGUUCCUAUCACAAAAUAGAUGGACAAGAUGUGGUUAGUGUAAUGGAGAAAAAAAAAUCAAUCCAUUCACAUAGGAGUAAAACAUAUAGGUUCUAAUAGACAUGUAUUGGUUUAAUUUUUGCAUGAAAAAAAUCUUCAGGUUUUCAUGGGUGAUGUUUUAAAGUGAAAACUUCAGGUUUUCAAACAAGGCAUAUUUAUAAGAAACUUCGGGUUUCAAAAAUAAUUAUGAACUUCAGGUUCAUGUAUUCCUGCAGGCAAACACAAAUAUAUAUAUAUAUAUAUAUAUAUAUAUAUAUAUAUAUAUAUAUAUAUAUAUAUAUAUAUCUAAGCAAAUAUGCAACAAGAAUAUGCAAAAAUAUAACUUUUAGGUGUACAAAUAUAAAUGAAUUAAUUUAUUUGGACUUCGGGCCAAAUUAAAAUGUGGGUGAAAAAAAUAUAAAACCCAUUGGGCCUAAAAUAAUUAGGCGAAUAAAAUUUGGGGCCCAAAAAAAAAAAUAAAUAAAGCCACGGGUGGCUAAAAAAAUUUUGUGCCGUGCAUUCCAGGCCCAAGAAUGGGCUGGAUUUGGACUCGGUUGUAGGCUGCAGGCUUACGGGGAGGACGGGAUAGUGGGGGUGGGUUGCUGCAGGUAAGCCCAGAUAAAAAAACAUAUGGGCCGCUGCAGGAAGGGCCUAAAAGGGUUUUUAGGUCACUGCAGGGAGCCCAAAAGAAAAACAGGCCAUGGAGGGUUCAAACCCAAAAAAAAAGGACGUGGGUCACAAACCCAGUCGUGCUGGAUGUGUACAGCCGGGGAAGAACGCGGGGUUUUGGUCGACGGUGCCACGUCAAGCGGUCGGCGUUGGGACAAGGAUGCUUAGUACGAGUCUGUGGGUCGUUAAAAACCUCAAAAUAAGAAUGGAGAUUUGAAAAAAAAAAUCUCAAUAUUCGUUGUGAAACCCUAGAAUUUCGAAUCGGGUUUUUUGACAAGCUUCAGGCAGUCAAACAUGGUGACCCGAUGUGUGAGGGUGGCAUGCAGGCCAUCCUGCGAUGGCAAGGGACGUCGUGGUUGGCGUCGGGGUGUUCUGGGUUUCAACCUAGAUCUCUCGGCUUUGGCACAGUUUAGUCGCAAGCUGCAGGCUUGGGUGAGUGCUCGAGGUCAUGGGUCCCAGGCCAUGAUUCCCAAUUUCAUUUUAUUUUAAUUCAAAUAUAACUCAAUUAUAUGCAUAUUCAAAAUAAUAAUAUGUUAAUUGAAUUCAAUUUGAUGCAAUUCAUAUACAAUUUUAUUGAUGCAUAUGCAAUUCAUAGCAAACAUCAAAUUCACAUAAUUCAACAAUUAUGAUUAUGAGGCAUACACAAUUUAUGUAGAAUCUAAAAUUCGUAAAACGUAAAGUUGGGUCAUGCAUCAUGGUGAAUGUUCAUGCUAUCAGGGCUGCAAAAAUACCGAGUUAAAAGCCGUUGUUUUGAAAAAACCUGAUUGCGUGAUGAUAUGGAUGAACUGAUUUGAUGCAGAAAAAUUCUUCAACGUCAGAUUCCUAAGCGCAGCGGUAGGAGCGUGAUGAUAACAUGUUGUGGUCUAUUUUAUCUAAAAAUAUUUAGGGUGGCCGGCGGCAAGGAGAAGGGAGAGAGAUGUCUUUGUAGAAAUGUAGGGGAAUAUGUGCGUGUUGUUAUCCCUCCUACAUUAUGCCUUUAUUUAUAGUAAAAGAGGAGAAGAGAUAUUUCUUCUUCCUCAAGGAAUACAAGAUGCAAUAGGAAAUGAUAACUAGAAUAAAAUCUAACCUAAGAUUUAUACAAUUACACUUAAACUAUAGGCCUUGUUUGACAUGCCAUAUAAAGGAUCGGAUAGUAUUAAUAAUACGGUAGAAGGUUUGGUGCUCAUCUGUACUAAUUAAGCACCGGAUAAAUUAAACCGGUCUCACCAUUUUAAUACCCCUCACGCCUGCUAACUUAUCCUCCCUGGAACCUCCGUAUAAUUAGUCAGGCAAAUCAUGCUCGUGCUCUCAACCUCUCUACUUGCAUCGCAACAUGCUCAUCCAAAUAUUCCAUCUCUCCCUCCCUCCCCACCUCCAAUCAACAUCAACCAUAUAUAAACAGAAAAUUAGAGGUGGCAAAUUAAACCCAGGCCAUGGCGUCCCUAUUCAGACAUCCAUGAUGGCAGAUCGAACUAGAAUUGGAGAGCUGCGUUGUCUGAAUCAACUCGUUAUGAGAACCUGUACCGUCGCCGCCCAUGACCCACUGCUUCUCUGUAACUGCUCGCAUCACCAUCUUGCACUCGAGUCUGCCAUUGUUGUUGUAUCUUGAAAUGAGAUCCCAUGGUUGCGAACUGUUGCCGCCUUGAACCACUGCACGAACCCAAACCCAAAAAGCAUAAAAUCCAUUGCGUCGCCCCCACAUAGCACAAGACCCGAUUGCAUUGAACCAUUGCAGACCACUGGGGGACAAACGCUGCCAAAAAAAAAAAUCCUUAAUUUACCUUUUUUUUCAAAUCAGGUUCUAAUCUAAUUUGGCGGCUUUUCAUUUGCCUCCUAUCUUGAAGAUAGGAUUUGCUUCCUGUCAAAAACAUUUUUUUUUUCUUUUUUUGAAUCCGGUUGCCAAACACAAUAUAAAUAAUGGGAUGUACUAUCCACACACCAUUUUUUACUUCUCACACACCUCUUGUUAAUUUCUGUCCGUUGAUCUUCUUCAAUUCAUCCGAUCCGAUGACCAAAAACCAAAAAGGUAUGGGAGAGUAAAAAUGAAUGUGUGGAUAUCAUACCCCUAAAUAAUACAAUCAUUAAUCUGAUAUUACAUCAAUCACUCGAUUAAUUUAAUCAGUACUAUCUAGUGUUAUUUACAACAAAGAAAGCAAUUGUUUAAUUAAACUUAGGCCAUGGCGUACCUAUUCAGACAACCAUGGUGGCAGAUCGAACUAGAAUUCGAGAGCUGCGCUGUCUGCAUCAACUUGUUAUGAGAACCCGCACCGCCGCCGCCCAUGACCACUUACAACAAAGAAAACAAUUGUUUAAUUAAUUUGUCAUGGACUCAAGGCCCACCACAACCACAGCUUUCCACAGACCCCUCUCUCCUUUCCCCUCUUCUCCGUCGUCCUCUUUCUUCUCUAUCCUUCACAUUGGUCUCUCUCUCUCUCUCUCCUCGACCUCUCUCUUCCUUUCCUUCCCCGCUCCACCAGCCUACUGUUUGAGAUCAUCCACCGCUUCGAAGGUGAGGGAGAAGAGGAGGGAGGCGAAGAUUAGAUUAGAUAGAGACUGAAGUUUUAGACUUCAGUUUUUGUAAUUCCAAAUUGCCCCAAAGAUUUCAAUAUUUCAAAAACUGCCUCAAAAUAAUUCAACCCGUGUCGUCGGCGUAUCGGAUGCGUGUCCGACCCGUUGACCGGUGUCUUGGCGAGUCUCUUGACAGUGUCCAAGCCGUGUCGGGGGCGUAUUGUCGGCGUGUCGAAGUCGACACUUCGGAGUUUUGGAGUGUCGGUGCGACCUAGCUUCUGUGGGUAGAGCGGAUUGCUUGGAACACUUCCGAUUUGCGGUGAGCAGCCAAAUGGCCCGGGCUUCUGCUCCUGCAGUUUUUCCAUGGAAAUACCAUGUGUUUCUGAGUUUCAGAGGUGAAGACACCCGCAGGGGUUUUACAAAUCAUUUAUACAAACAGUUGGAGGCGCGAGGAAUCAAGACUUUCAGGGACGAACCAGAACUUGAAAGAGGGACAGAUAUCAAUCCAGAGCUCCUGAGGGCAAUUGACCAAUCAAGGUCUGCAAUCAUAGUUUUUUCGACAAACUUUGCUUCUUCAAGUUGGUGUUUGCAAGAAGUUACUCAUAUUGUUCGUUGCAUGGAAGAGAAAGAGAGAAUUUUCCCCAUUUUUUAUGACGUGGAUCCUUCUGAUGUACGCCAUCAACGAGGGAGUUUUGGGGAAGCCUUUGCGGAACAUGAAGUAAAUUAUCCGGAACAAAUGGAGGAGGUAAUUGAGUGGAGAAAGUCGUUAAAAAGGGUGGCUAAUUUCGCUGGGUGGAAUUCAAAGGAUUAUAGGUAAGCGUGGGAUUCAGCAACUGACGUUUAUUUUACGGUGUGAUGAUUUUUUAUUUACGUCGUUUGUUCUUCUUGUAGGUAUGAUACAGAGCUUAUCCAAGGAAUCGUCAAUACACUAUGGGAGAAAGUGCACCGUACGUUUUCAAUGUUAGAUUCCUCAGAGAGGUUUGUCGGAACUGAUUCUAAACUGGAGGAAAUAGAUUUGCUUUUAGAUACAGAUGCAAACGAUGUUCGCUUUAUAGGGAUAUGGGGGAUGGGUGGAGUGGGUAAGACAACCCUAGCUAGAUUAGUUUACGAGAGAAUUUCUCAUGAUUUUGAAGGUAGCAGCUUUCUUGCUAAUGUUAGAGAGGUGUGCUCUAAGGAUGGUAUAGCUCAUCUACAAAAGCAGCUUCUUUCUGAAAUCUUAGGGGAAAAUAACAUGCAAAUUUGGAAUACUUAUCGCGGAAUCACUAUGAUAAGUAGGUGUUUAUGUAAUAAAAAGGUUCUUCUCAUACUCGACGAUGUGGAUCAAUUAGACCAACUGGAAAAGUUGGUCAAACAAAAGGAGUGGUUUGGUUUCGGGAGUCGAGUCGUUGUUACAACUAGAGAUGAACGUUUGUUAGUUGAACAUGGUAUAGAGAUGGUAUAUGAGGUUAAGCCAUUAACCCAAGAUGAAGCUCUUUCUCUCUUUAGUUGGAAAGCCUUUAAAGAUGAUGAGUUGGAAGAAGAUUUUUUAGAACUGUCUAAAUGUUUCAUCAGUUAUGCAAGUGGUCUUCCAUUAGCUCUUAAAACUUUAGGGUCUUUAUUGUACAAAAGAGGUCGAGAUGAAUGGAAGAGUGCACUAGAUAAACUGAAGCAAGCUCCUUUUAGGACAACUUUUGAAGCAUUGAAAAUAAGUUAUGAUACACUUGAUGAGUUUGAGAAGAGAAUCUUCCUUGACAUUGCAUGUUCCCAUGAUUUUUGUGGAAAGGAGCGAAUAAUUGAAAGACUAGAAAACUCUAGCUUUGCUGGUGGCGCUCGCAUGGUGGUAGAUGUUCUUAUUGAGAAAUCUCUCAUAAGUAUUUCAGACUCUUACGUGCAUGUGCAUGAUUUGAUACAAGAAAUGGCAUGGGAGAUUGUUCGACGAGAGUCUUACGAUGAGCCAGGUGGUCAUAGUCGGUUGUGGCUUCCUAAAGAUAUCUUGCAUGUGCUUGCAAAGAAUACGGUAAGAAGUUGCUUGAAAAUGAAAAUACCAAAGCUCGGAUAGGACACUAUAAUACUAUUUAACAUGAUAAGAGACUUGACUACGAAAUUAACUAUUUGUUUAAUCUUAUUUAUCAGGGAUCAGAAGCAAUUGAGGGCAUAGUCUUACGUUUGAGUGAAGAAGGUACUACUAAUUAAGCUACUGUGAAAGUUUGAUGUAGUACCUUGGAUAGGAGGCAUUCAUCUAUGCAUUUAUAUCUAAAUAAGUAUUGAUGCAUCGAAUUGGAAGUAAUUUUGGGUUUGGCUUUAUUACCUAGGGUCAUAAUAAAUUCCUGGCUAGGCUCAAUGUGUUGGGACUAUUGGGGUUCAGCCUUUUCACCUUAUAUUUUCUUGUAAGCCUAGAUGGCUGGGCAGUUUUUGAAUGUUAAAGUAAAAGUAAAGAGUUUAUUCUCUUCUGGUCUAUCAACUUGGGUAUUCCAUAGGAAUUAACAAUUUUCUUUGUUCUUGCUUUUCUCAUUUGUGCGAAUCAACAAGAAUUUAGGGUUUAUUGUGUUCUAAAGUUUGUGUCCUUUUUCCUGUAUUAUCCGUUGCAUCACUUGGUCAAAUUCCAUGUUGCUAGGAAAUACACUCUCAGGCUCUAAGUUCAAAAGAAAUAUCAUAAAUGCACAAGACAUUACCAAUUUUCUGACUUUGUUCUUUGGACAGCUCGAAGAGGACUGAAUCUGCGAACUGGUUUUUUCACCUUCAGGCAAAUUAAAGCUGCCACUAACAACUUUGAUCCUGAAAACGAAAUCGGGAAAGGCGGUUUUGGGCCUGUCUACAAGGUACCGUUUAAUCCAACCUACGUCUUUUCCCCUAUUUUUGUGUGUCCUGAAUUAACUAUUUGGCUUUUACGUAAAAUGCAGGGUAUAUUGUUGGAUGGUACUAUAAUUGCGGUUAAGAAACUAUCAUCAAAAUCAAAGCAAGGAAACCAGGAAUUUUUGAAUGAAAUAGGCAUGAUAUCUGCUUUGCAUCAUCCAAAUCUUGUCAGAUUGUAUGGAUGGUGUAUUGAAUCAAACCAAUUACUGUUGGUAUAUGAAUACAUGGAAAAUAAUAGCCUUGCACGUACUUUGUUUGGUAAGCUUAAUUAUCAAGUUUAGUAACAAAAUUACACAGGAAUGGUGAAUUAAAGGGACCUGGAAAUUCAUGUUUGUUUCAGGUCCAUUAAAGCUGGACUGGUCUACAAGGCAGAAAAUAUGCAUAGGUAUAGCAAGAGGUCUGGCUUUUCUGCAUGAGGAGUCGACACUGAAGGUUGUACAUAGAGACAUUAAAGCUACAAAUAUAUUGCUAGACCAAGACCUCAACGCAAAGAUCUCUGACUUCGGUUUGGCCAAGCUUAACGACGAGGAGUACACUCACAUUAGCACCAGAAUUGCUGGAACCAUGUAAGCGUGCUGCUACUAUAUUCUACAUGCUUGUUUAUUGAAAUGUCCCCUGGAACUAAUGUCAUGCCUAACUCCUUGAAACUCAAUUUGUUGUGCAGAGGAUACAUGGCUCCAGAAUAUGCACUAUGGGGUUAUUUAACAAAUAAAGCAGAUGUUUACAGUUUUGGUGUAGUUGCAUUGGAAAUUGUUGCUGGAAAGAGCAACAUGAAAUAUAUACCAAAUGAGAACUUAGUAUGCCUUGUGGAUUGGGUAAGAUCUUCAUUCUAAGUGCUUGAGUACAUGUCAACGUUGACUAGCUAAUCUCAGCUAAUCUUUUUUAUCUGCUUAUUUCAGGCUCUUGUUUUACAACAAAAGGGGAACUUAAUAGAGCUAGUGGAUCCAAGCUUGGGGUCCCAUUUUGAAGUGGAAGAGGCGAUUACAAUGGUCAAGGUAGCUCUCUUAUGCAUCAAUCCAGCAUCAGCUCUCAGGCCGACCAUGUCUGCAGUAGUGAGCAUGCUUGAAGGACGGACACUUGUUCAUGAACUGAAGUUAUCAGCCUUGAGAAACCCGUUUGAUCCAACUGCACAGGGGAGCACAAGUGGAACUCAGAACCUUGUUGGUUCAUCAGAUGCAACAUGUGUUAAUUCUGCUACUACGUCCUCAGAUCUCUAUAAAAUUGGUCCUAGUAGUAGUACACCUACUUUUUUUUUUUUUUUUUUUUUUUUUGGGUAACGUAGUAGUACAUCUACUUAGUAAUUAACGUAAGGGUUGUGAUUUUCACACACCCUUAACUACUUUUCCCACACCUUUCCUAUUUUUUUAGUACUUAAUUGGUAUUCUACUAUUUAAUCUUCCAUAUAUACUCCUCCCUAUUUAAUCUUUCAUUAAUUACCAUAAAAAAGUAGGAAGGGUAUAUAUGAAAGAUUAAAUAGUAGGAUACCAAUUAACUAUUAAAAAAUAGGAAGGGUGUGGGAAAAGUAGUUAAGGAUGUGUGAAAAUCACAACCCUUAACGUAAACCUUGUUCUGCGCUCAACUAUGCAAAUUCUCGUGUAAUGAUAAGUAGUACGUUCACUCUCCAAUAUCAAUGCUUUAGCUUCGUACUUUCGUUUACAGGACGUAAGAAUAAAGGCUCUUAAUCAGUUGAGCUAACUCUAAAUGGUUUGCUACAUUCGCGAAGUAGAAGCUUUAUGUAACAAAGCAAGUGGAGAAAGAAAAAAUACAGUAAUUUUAAGUGAUACAAUUUCAGUCCAAUCUCAACGUAUAUGAUUGUCAGGAUCAAGCUGUCAAUUUUCCACUUGACAUGAUUUAAGUUCUAAGGAAUUACAGCAGGGACGAAAGGUUGAAAAUUCAAAGUUGGUUUUUCCGGCUCAAGAUGCAACACGGAUUGGUUUUUCUGAUACCACUACGUCUUCAGAUCUCUACAAAAUUAGUCCUAGUUCUUGUUAAAAGAGGGCAACUCUUGCUUUUGUAUACAUGGAAGAUUCAUACAAAAAGUCUAGGAAGAUGUGAACAUUUAGAUUCUGGCUACGGAUUUUAAUUAGGCAGACAGUUAAGGUGUACUAAAUUGUGGUUUAUGACACACGAUUUAUUAUUUGUUUAACCAUUGCUAGUUCUAUUCCGUAGUAGGUAUUCGUAAAUGUUUCUUUUUAUGCAUAUUGGUCCAAAGAUCUCUUGCCAAACGCUCUCUAACUACGUUUAGCAGAACAUAAAUGUUUUCAAGUCAUAAAACCGUUUUAUAGACAAACGCAUGUUAGAUGACCCUUUUAAAUGCACUUUCAAGUAAUUUUCCACUAGUACAUGAAUUUUUAAUAAAAAAUUUACUAGUCUUUUUUUUUUUGUUGAAAAAGUUAACUACAUUCUUUAAGUUUAUAACAAAAACACUAGUAACAUACACAAUGCUUAUUAACAAAAAGUGCUUUCUACGAAUGCAUUCCCUUUACGGUAACCAAUCUAAGCAUAACAUUCCCCAUAAUUAGUAACCACGGCCACAUCAUAAUUAUAAACCAAGUUCUUUAACUACUUUAAUAUACUAUUAGGUGUUGUAGGCCUAUUAAACUGAACUAUACUAAGGGAUAUAGAGAGAGAGGGCCAGCGGUAGCAAGAGGGAGAGAUGAGAGAUUUAAUUGUGAGGUGUCUGUUGUAUCACCUCAUUGUGCCAUUAUUUAUAGUAAAAGGAUAUGGAAAAACCUUACCCUAUUAGGAUUACAACUCUUAAUAAGUAAUCAACUCCUAAAAAGAAUACUAGAGAUACUUCUAGAUUUAUUAGGAUUUACACAAUCACAUUCCUAUUCUAAAUAUGACUGCAACACUCCCCAUUGAGUGUGUAAAUACUCAACAAACCAGCGUAUCAGAUCUUCAGCAGAUAAAGUAGAAUAGUUGAUGAAGUCGGCAGCACAACGGGUGAACGCGAGUCUCAAAUUUAAGAAAGUAUGCAUUGGUAGUAAAACUCACAAAACCUCGCUAUAAUAAAACCCGAGAUGGGAGAAAACCCUAUAGACUAAGGAGAAAAGUGAGAAGUAUGUAUAAUGUCUAAAACAAAUGUCAAACAGGACGAAAGUGGUGAACUCAAUGGAGUAUGAUCAUCCCAGGAUGGGUGCGUCAUUAAAACCUCAUUAGGUAGCAAAAACCCAGUGGGAAAAAUGCUCCUAAUCGUAGGAAAAAGAGUACAUUAAGAUCAAGUGAGUAUGCUUCUAGAUACUCUCCCCGAGUUAGACAUAAUUUCUAAAUAAAAGAACUACAAGUGAUUCAACUAAGAUAAUUUACUCAUACUGAUUUCUUGGACGAGCUUCUGAAAAGUAGACUUGGGCAAUGACUUGGUGAAGAGAUCGGCCAGGUUGUCCUAGGAACGGAUUUGCUUGACUUUAAUGAUCUGAUGAUGUUGCUACUGAUGGGAGUAGAAGAAUUUCGACGUUAUGUGCUUGGUGGUGUCUCCCUUGAUGUAUCCCUUCUUUAACUGCUCGAUACAUGCUGCAUUGUCGUUAAAGAUCAUCUUAGGAAUGUUAAUGACGAAAGUAAGACCACUAGUGCUUCGAAUAUGUUCCAUGAUUGCUCUCAACGAAAAGCACUCACACGAUGCUUCAUGCAGGGCGAGAAUCUCAGCAUUGUUUGAAGAAGUCAUAACUAACGUUUGCUUGGUAGACCUCUUGUAAAACCCCACCCCCAUUUUUAAAAAUUGUUUGGGAUCUUUUUCUUUUUAAAUAGUUUUUGGUUCUUAAUUGGUGAGCCCAAGGGGCCCACCCCCUGCUUUGUGUCCCCGGUUCCCCUCUUCCUCGUGGACUCAUCUCUUUCCCUCACUUUUCUCUCUUCUUUCUCUCCCCCAAAACUCUCUGCAACUCUCUCCCUUCUCUACGAUGUCCCCCUCCUUUUUGAAAACAACACACACACACACAUACCCACACAUACAUACUCACAUGGUUACACCUAGACGCCAUCUCAAAGGAGGAAGGAACACAUACCAAUCUUCGAACCCGUAAGCUCGGUGAACCACAACUGUGAACCCUCGACCUUGGUAAGCUUCGGGACUCUCUCUAAUCUUUCUCUUAGAUUGAUCAAACUCUAGUUAGGACUCAUUUUAGGUGCUUUGGUGAAGGUUGGUAGUGAGAAACAACUCGGAGGUUUAUUUUCCCAGUUUUACCGGCGAGUCCGAAUGCUUUCAAGCCAAUUUUUGUCCAAACCACGGCAAGUUAGCUGGUUUGCAAGGUAUCAAUCUCUUCAUCUCGCUGAGUACUACAACUUUCCUUUUUAUUUCACCCAAUUUCAUUGAGUAUUGAAGAAGUUAUACUCAUUUGAAUCUUACCUAGUUUCCUGCAACCUCUGUGGGUUUCGAGGCCUUUUUUGGCCAAACCACCACGAGUUAGAUGUCAUACGAGGUACCAUUCUCUUUGUCUCUUUGAGAACUACAAUUUUUAUUUUUGAAUCAUUUGAUUUCGUUGACUAUUGACAAUGUUAUGAACGUUUAAAGUUAAGGAACUUUCCUACCGAAAAUCCGGCCUUCUUAUUUGUGAGGUUCGACGACCCACCAAACCCAGGCCCUUCGGGCCAUUCCUGCCAAGCCCAAAACCUUGGGCAGCCCAACCCAACCCUUAUUUUCUUUUGUUUUUAUUUUUGGUUUGUUAAAUUAAUGGCCUUGGGCCUUACUUGUGAAGACCUUAAACCUAAACCCUUUAGGGUGCGUUUGUUGCAUCAGACUAUCUCGGAUUGAACUAGCUUCAAGGACUAAGUUGGACUAACUUAGACUAGACUAAGUUGGACUAUCUAUGUGAAGUAUUUGAUGCAGUGUCAAACUAAAAAGCAGGAUAAUGAAAAUAAUAAUAAUUAAUUCUGUUUUUUUAUAUUGUUUUUUUUCUUGUUCUAGAACACUUUCUCUGGACUAAGAAACCUCUCUCUUCCUUCAGCCUUUUUUCUGUCCAAAUUACACAACUCUGGACUAAGAAUCUCUCUUCCCUCUCUCUUUUUUCGUCCAAAUUCCACAACUUUCUCCUUCCAUUUCAAUAAUAAAGCUUCCAAAUCACAAAACGCAACACAAUCAAGAAAUUCAAUUGAAAUCAAAAUCGAAAUCGCAACUGAGUCUCCUGUAUUCACGACGAUAACGCUCUGAUUCCGAUUGAAGGCGGAGGAGCUUUGCCUCUUCUCAUCACAUUCGAACGCAUGUGAGAACUCAUCGCUUGAAGCCAAUCACAAUGCAAAGUCUGGAUUUUUCUUUUGGAAACGGACGAAUUCCCCCAAUUCAAUUCCAAUAAGGAUAAACCCUAAGUCCUAAUUGGACCAAAUCGUAACCCCUUCUGCUUUGAAUUCAGGUCUCAGCGAUCCAAACCCAGACGAGGAAGAGGACGAGGGCGCACCAGUCGGCGAGGUCUUCAAGACACGAUCAACUCUUUGUCUAAGAUGGUCUUAGCAGUCCGCCCAUAUACGGGAAGCCUCGCCAAGAACAUUUAGAGAAGGUGUUAGUCCUUGCGAGUCCCCUCUAAGCUCAUUAAACGUAAUCCUGGACUGCAACAAACACGGGAUUGCACUGCUAAAUAGUCUAGUCCAGCUUAGUGAAGGCUAGUGAUGCCAAACAAACACACCCUUAGUCUUUUAGGCCCAACCUGCAACCCCCUUAAAACCCUAUAAGCCUAACCUAUUUAUCUAACCCAACCCAAUUACCCUUUGACCAAAUGGAAUAUUCCGUCUAUUAAGGAAUAUUCCGUCAGAGAAUAUUCUUGGAAUAUUCUUCCCCUGUUGACUUUUGUUGACUUUUCAGAAAUAUAAUUGAGACCCUACUUAUGGUAAUUUGACACCCUGAAUCUGUUUUUGACGUCUGUUUUCCCACAUUAAAUUGUUUGAGUAUAGUUUUGUUAAUUGUACUAUUUAUGUGCUUAGGUGCAAUUAAUAGCGGCGAUUCCGUUAUUCCUUUCUGGUACGGCUUUGCACCAACGGUGUACGAUGAGUGGACCUCUUCUAAAAUGCAUGUUUUAAUAAUAGAAAUGCAUACAUGAAAAACAUGAUUUAUUGAAUACGUUUGUGAAUGUUUUAUGAGAAAUUGAUUAACAUGCUUACUGAGGUUACUUUGAAUUAUUACUAUUUUUCCUAUAACCCAUGUUCUUUAUAGGAUAUCUGAUGGAUGAUGAUAUAAUAUUUAAAACAUGUUUUUGAGCACCUCUUUAUAGUAUAGAUGAUGGAUGACUUUAUACUAUAAAGUUGACUUUGAUAUAUAUAUAUAUAUAAUAUAUAUAUAUAUAUAUAUAUAUGUUCAAUGGUUUUGUGCGUAUCUAGUGGUCACUAUGUGCCUGUUUGGCAAUGAUGAUUAUAUUGGCUUCGAGCCGAGCGUAGGUUGGGCCUUGAUGCGAAAAUUAACUUAACACACAAAUUAAACCCUCUUGUAUCAAUUGUAGUAAAGAAUGUAAGUAGGGAUCGUUCUGGACCGGGGAUUAGGAGGGCUUGCUAAUAACCUCUAAACUGACUUAAAAACAUAUAAACAAAGUUAAAAACACUAAACUAGACUCAAAGAACUCAAAACAACUAAUUAGAUUCAAACUAGACACUAAGAAUGACUUUGGACGAAAAUUGGUUUUAACUUAACUCAAAACACUUAAAAACACAACUAGGACAUAUUCUAACUAAUUAGACACUCUAAAGUAAAAGGGGAUUUGGUUUUGGAUGAAUUUAAGUAAAAACAAGUAACUAAAGACUUAAAACAGAUUUUGGACGAAUUUGGUGAUUUGAAUGGAUGAUGGGCUAGCUAAAAGGUCUUUCUCCACACAUGACACACUUGCAUAUAAAACGAUUUCCAGUUACUUUUCAAUAAACCAUGAACCUCAACACCCCAGAUUAAUUAGGUACGCUUAAAUUAAUCCUCAUAUUUUCCUAAUUUCAUUGAAUUGGAUGAUUGCAUACAACAACCCAAAGCAUUCCCCACAAGUUCCCUACAUGAAUUGCAUAAUAGAGAUACAAGCAAGAAUCAUUAAGUUCUAUGAAAAUCAUAAGCAUUGACGAAACACUUGUAACUAUGAAUUGCAUGAAACUUAUGCCAAGAAUUUACUCAACACGGUUGUGACGAACAACCUUUACUACUUGUGAAUAUAAGUUCAUAACGAUUAGGUGAAACUCCCUUAUAUCCUAGCAUCAUAUUUAUGCAUGGAAAUUAAGCAUGCACUCUCAACCAACAUACACAAAUCAAUUUUAAUUCAAAUGGAUAAGUAAAUUGAAUUCACAACUUAUGAAUCACAACUGAAAAUAAUCAAAUCAUAUUGCAAGCAUGAACAUGGUUUCGAAUUCCCCCCUAGCUAAGGGGGGUUUAGUUUCUCAUACUUACAAAGCAAAGAUAAACAAAUUUAGACAUUGAAAACAAAAGAAAGAAAACACCUAAACGCUCCAACGAUCCAAGUUGGACAGCAAGCACAUCCAAGCACUUUCCUUCCCUUCCUUUGCUACGGCACAAGGUGUUGGUGAGUGUUUUAAGGUUUGUUUGUAUGGAGGAAUGGAUGUGAGGAUGAAUGGAAGUGUUUGGAUGAAGGUUGUAUCGAAAUGGGGAUGAAUUCUCUAGCAAAAACUAAGCUCUAUGGCUGCCACACACACUUCCUUUUAUAGAGGAAGUGCAAGGCAAGGAAGGUGAAUUGGUGGUGUGUGCAAUGAUUCAAGGGUGAAAAUGAAGUAAUGAUGCAAAGCAUGGGGGUUAAAAUGGAGUGGUGUUGCAGCAAUGAGUGCAAGGAGUGGUGUUGAAAUGAUUCAAAGGUGAAAGUGAAGUGAUGAUGCAAAGCAUGGGGGGUAAAAUGAAGUGGUGUUGCAGCUAGGGAACAUGAAUGAUUAUGCACAUGGUAGAGAAAGGAAAGGGAGGUGGAAUGGUGCAGAAAUGAGUCAAGGGUGAAGCAAGAGUCAUGAUGCAUGGCAUGGGAAUCCAAAGGGAGUGCAAUGGUGCAUGGAUGAGUGUAUUGAUUCAAUGUAAUGAUACAUGAAAUCUGAAAUGAUGGAGGGAACAAGGAAUGGUGCAGCCAUGAGUGCAUGGAAUAGAGGUUUAAAGUGGAAUGAUGGAGGGAACAAGGGUGGUGCAGCCAUGAGUGAAUGAAAUGGUGCAUGAAAUGAUUGCAUGAAGGUGAAAGGGAGUGUGAAAUUCGGUAGAAAUUGUAGGAUAGAUUUAGGAAUGUUUUUUGAGGCACAAAAUAGGUAAGGAUCCUCUCCCUUAGCACGGCAAGGAUUGAAACAAAAGGGUAAUGCAAUUUUGGGUCAGAAAAUAGGCAAGAAAUGAUGUAGGGUGCGGUUGGUUGCUUGAAGAAAAGGGGAAUGUGAAUUAGAAAAAAGAAAAUAGGAAAGAAACAACCUCCUUGCACGGCAAUGAGUUAAAUGGUGCAAGGAACCUUUGGUUUGUGUCCUAAAAUGCAUAGGGGACCUUCAAUGUUGUUGGCACUUAGGGACAUUUAGGAUUAGGAAAGGUUAAAUCAAAAUAAGGUAAUCUUGACUCAUGUUUCUUCUUUGGUUGCUGAGCUCUUUGUCCUUUUUAAAUUAAUUAUUGUUUCUCUUUAACCCAUUCCUAGCCUCUUUAGUCUUCAAUUUCGUCCAUCUACUUAGCUCCAAGCAUGUGUAUUCAUUCCAAGCCCAAAACUGCUCUAAAAGGCUCCAAAAUGCACCUUUUUGCAUACUUUGUCCUUAGAACCAGAAAUUGCACGAAAAUGACUUUAAACACUAAAACAACUAAGGAAUAACAAUAUAAAUACAUGAGAACAAGCUAACUCAGUUGCAUAAAUAUGCUUCUAUCAGGCUUGUUUGACAAAUGAUACUGAUAUGCUUGUUUGGCAAAUGAUAUACGCGUGUUUGGCAAAUGAUACUGUUUUGCCUGUUUGGCAAGUGAUACUGAUAUGCCUAUUUGACAAAUGAUAUACAUGGCCGCUUGGCAAAUGAUACUGAUAUGCCUGUUUGGCAAGUGAUAGAUAUGCAUGUUUGGCAAGUGAUAUUGAUAUGCCUGUUUGGCAAGUGAUACUGCUAUGCCUGUUUGGCAAGUGAUAAAUAUGCCUGUUUGGCAAAUGAAGAUUACUGAUACUGAUACCACUAAUAGCACACUAUAUACGAGACAUGUUUUAUGGAAAGGUUUUAUGGCAUGCUAGUGUUUCGGAAAACCUAUUAUUAUAUUAUACUAUUAAGUUUUCAUAAAACCUGGGGGUUAGUAUGUUGAUAACUGUUUUAGUAUUAUUAUAUAUCAACUUGGUCCACUCAUGUUUGUUUUGCGCCCCCUUCAGGACUUAGAAUCGAGGCAUACAAUCCCGGCGUCAAGGCACUUCCGUAUCGACAUCUUCGAGUCCUCUCGGUAUAGGACCCAUUCAUUUAUUCAUUCAAUUUUACAUUUUUUUCUUAUUAGUGUUCUAAAUUAAUUGUAUGCUCUGAACACGUUCCUUAUUUGCAUAUUCAUUAUAUUUAAAUUCAUAAGUCUUAUUUAAUUCUUGUUCUCAUGCAUUUCUAAAUGGCUUUCGUCACCUCUUGGGUGUCGGCCAGCACGUGACCAUCCCGAUGUCCCCGAGGACAUCUGGAUCGGAGCGUGUCACCUCCAAGAUAUAGUGGUGUUUCCAACGGUAAAGACAUAACCCGUUUGGGAACGUGCCCUAUGUGGGUCAGACAUAUAUCCAGCAUCUGCGUAACCAACAAGGCAAGAAUCAAUCCAAGAAUCGCUAAGGCUGACAACACUCGAAGAUUCGUGGGUAUAGAACAAGCCCAAAUCCGUCGUACCCUUGAGGUAGCGAAAAAUGUCUUUAACACAAUUCCAGUGCCUAGGUGUGGGCGCAUUGUUGUAUCUAACAAAAAGAUUAACAGCGAAUGAGAUGUCAGGUCUAAUGUAUUGAGUCAAGUACAAUAAAGCCCCAAUUGCACUUAGGUAUGGAACUUCGGGUUCCAAAAUCUCUUCCUCAUCCUCCUUUGGAUGGAAGGGAUCUCGUUUAGCAUCUAGAGUCCGAAUGACCAUAGGUGUACUCGAAGGCUUCACUUUAUCCUCAUUAAAAUGUCGCACUACCUUUUGCGUGUAGUUUGAUUGAUGUACUAGGAUUCCAUCAGAAUAAUGCUUGAUCUCUAGGCCAAGACAAUAUCAAGUUUUCCCAAGAUCUUUCAUCUCAAAUUUCGAUUUCAAGUGCGCGGCAAUUUCCUCAAGCUCUACGGGAGUUCCAAUGAGGUUAAUGUCAUCGACAUAAACUGCAACGAUUGCAAAUUCGGAAUGUGACUUCUUUAUGAACACGCAUGGGCAUAAUUCGUUGUUCGUAUAACCCUGACUUGUCAAUAUUCACUCAAGCGGUUAUACCACAUCCGCCCGAAUUGUUUCAAUCCGUAGAGUGACAUCCUCAAUCUAAUAGAUAGAGUGUUCCGUGGUCUAGAACUAUUUGAACCAGUCUGGAAGUCCUUCUGGAACUUUCAUGUAUAUUUCCGUAUCUAGAUCCCUAUAAAGAUAAGCGGUUACCACGUCCAUAAGCUACAUAUUCAGGUUUUUAGAAACUACCAAACUGAUAAGGUAGCGAAACGUUAUGACAACCAUUAUGGGGGGAUACGUCUCCUCGUAAUUCCCAGGGCGCUGAGAGAAGCCUUGCGCUACGAGGCCUGCUUUGUAUCGCACUAUUUAAUUAUUCUCAUUACGCUUCCUCAUGAAAACCCACUUGUAGCGAACGGGCUUCACAUGUGGAGGGCUUCACAUGUGGAGGAGUAGGAACUACAUGCCCAAACACCUUAUGUUUCGCAAGUGAAUCGAGUUCGACCUAGAUUGCUUGUUUCUAGUUUGACUAAUUUGUUCUACGUCGGCAUUCAUUAACGGAACGUGGUUCAAUGUCAUCGCUAAGCAUGAUGUCAGUAGCUACUGAGUACGCAAAUGCAUCGUCGACGAUCAUCUCAUUCCUAUUCCAAACCUCAUCCAAUACUGCGUAGUAGACUGAAAUCUCACGAUUCUCAGGAGGCCGAUUUGUCUCGUCUAAGAUGUCAUCGUAACUAGAAUAACCUCAUGUGUUGGAAUAGAUGAGUGAGCGAUGUUCGGAUUCAAACUAGGAUCACUAGUUGGUGCCGAUUUCCUCUUCUGGGGUUGUGAAUCCUUUGAACCAAGGGGUUUGCCACGCUUCAGGGUCGGAGCAGAUGAUUGGCUAGCCACCAAUGUACCGUGCCGCGUGGAAGGUGCGGCCUUCCCACCUUCGGGGACGGUCCAGCCUUCCCAGGCGGGAUGGUGACGUACAUGGGGUACAUCAAUUCUUGCAGGUGUAUAUGUGAUCUUGUCACCUUUGCUAGAUCGGUAAAACCAUCUGGCAUGCUCUGAGUAUGAGUAUCACUUCACUUUCUUUUUCUUCCUCUUUGUGUAGUGAUUUUACUUUCAAUUGUCUAAAUGGUACUAUACCACCAAAACAAUGGGGUGUGUUUGUAUCAUACUUGACUAAUCCUGAAACUACUGAGCACCAGUUAACAUUAUACCGUCAAGGACCCAGAAGAGUUUCCCUCCAACCAGGAGGCCAAUCAUAGCGCGACACGUGUCGACAUCAGAAGCCAAUCAUAGCACGACACGUGUCAACAUCAGAAGCCAAUCACAACACGACAUGUGUCAAUGUUAAAAUGAAACUAGAAACUCUCUUCUAUAAAUAGAGAUCAUUCUCUCACAAUAUUUCCUAAUGUCAUUUGUACUAAAUCAUUCACUAGUACUCACAAAAGGAGACCUUGAACCUAUGUACUUGUGUAAACCCUUCACAAUUAAUAAGAACUCAUCUACUCCGUGGACGUAGCUAAUCUGGGUGAACCACGUACAUCUUGUGUUUGCUUUUCUGUCUCUAUCCAUUUACAUACUUAUCCACACUAGUGACCGGAGCAAUCUAGCGAAGGUCACAAACUUAACACUUUCUGUUGUACCAAAGUCCUCACUGAUUUUGUGCAUCAACAUUUGGCGCCGUCUGUGGGAACGACACUUAUUCCCACUCUCUUCAGCUUUGUUCAAGCUGGUUUCCACCAUUCGUACACUCUCUUUUGACCAGGCAUCCCUCUCCAACAUGGGGAGCGAAGGAAGCCACACAACACACAGAAUGACACCCCUCUUGCACCUAGUGCGAAGCAACGAAAGAAGAAAGGAAAGAGGGUUGCUCUUCAAGCUAAAGUCGAUGAGCUAGAAGCUCAGAACAACAAGAUAGCAAUGAAGAAUGAGGUCCUCCAGGAGCAGUAUGAGAAGCUCUUUGAGACGCUCCACGAAACUAUGCGUACUCAAACACGCGAGCUUCGUUGCCCAUGUGGACAUCAACCAUCAUCUGGGUGCCCUCCAACACGGAGGGUCACCUUCCUUCGACAUGGGUAUGCUUGAUGAGGAGCGAGCUAAUCAUCAAAACAUUGAUCAACAUGAGACUUCUCUCAACCCAGCUGCUUCGACCCGAAGCAGGAGAAGUGGAGGAAGACACCUCAUUGCAGAAAGGUUGGAAGGAUCGAAAGCCGUUUAUCGUGACUGCCGAGAUUUCCUAAAGCAUCGUCGAGAGAAUCCCGUCCAUAUAUGCUCAAAGAUCAAUGACCCAAGGGUUUCUAAAAGGCUUGGUCCCUUCCCGGGACCUAGGCCAGCUGCCAAUCUAGGGAAGGAACGACAUGUCCUAGAGGAACAUGAAGGUACAGGGGACUCUGAGGUAUUCCGACAGAUUCGCCCUAGAAGUCAGUACGGCGAGUCCAAGGAAAUCACACGCCUUUGCUCAAACUUUCCUACUUCCAAGAGGCGAUGGAGACUUACGAAAGAAAAUCCAGUGGUACAUGACUCCACUCAGGACCCCCCUUGUCCUACAGCUCCUUGAGGAAGUAAACAAGUUGAAGGCCGAACGUCAAGGCCGAGAUACCUGACUGGAACCAACCCAGGCCUGGCCCUCUCACAAGGAGGAUCCUCGACACCCCCUUCAAGCAAAGACAAAACAAAAGCUUGGUUUACAACUCUAUACUGGAAGGGGAGGACCCAAUUGAACACCUUAACCUCUUUGAGUCCACCAUGGCAUAUCGAGAUGCACACCGACGAAGAGCGAUGUCUUCUCUUCCCCUCCACCCUCUCUGGCGGAGCUCUAAACUGGUAUUGCCGUCUUCCACCUGAGACAGUAGACUCAUUUGAGGAACUGAGGAAACUGUUUGUUCUCUCAACACAUCUUCCAGACCGACCGCUUGCAUUCUGCAGAUGACUUGUACACUAUUCACCAGAAGCCGGACGAGUCACUACGAGAGUAUGCUGGUCGUUUCAGCCAUGAGUAUUCUCGCUGCGCUGAGGCAGAUGACAAGACCUGCCCUCAAAGCCUUCACGGCAGGCCUACGUGAUUGUUUCUUCAAGUACAUGAUCAAUGCCAACACUUGGAAGACUUACUCUGAGGUGAUGGCACAGGCUUACAACCAUGCCUCCGCCGAGGCAAAGACAUAUCAAGGGAAACCCCCCACAACCACCCCUUAUCAGCAAGUAGGGAAUGGAAGCCAGAUCCAACCAAAUGAGAAGACCUCGACCUUCCAAACGGCAGCGGUGCCUCCCCCCUGCCUUACUUAAUACUUUGCCAAGUCAACAGACAUAUCAAUCUCAGGGCAAAAAGGAAAGAUUUCCAUCCUCACCAGUCUCAUUUUAGUAAAAGGAGUAAGGGACACUACCGCGAUAACCAAGGGUAUCGCCAUGAUAAUCCCCGACCCCAGGCAGUCAACACAGUGGGUCAAGCACGUGUCAGGACAGCCCCUACCCCGAGGUAUGAGGCAUACACACCUUUGAACGCCACAUGCGUGGCCAUUUACCCCAGCAUAGCACACCUGAUACCGAAGCCAAAGCCGAGGCACCCGGAUUACAAGCCCACGAAGAACACGGGCACGUUUUGCUGCUACCACGAGCAUAACGGCCAUGACGGCGAGAAGUGUAUCACCCUUCGUGAUCAUAUUGAAGCUUUGGCACGUGAAGGAAAAAUUGAUCAAUUCCUCAUUCACCCUUCAAGGGGUAACCGUAACCAACGCCAGGUGAAUGUGAUAUAUUCCAUAAGUGGUGGCACACCCAUAUCUAAAUCUUCCAACAGGGCCAUGAAAAAAUAGUGAACGAGCUUUAAGGUCUGGCCACCAAGUGUUUCACGUGGAAGACAUCAGGGGAGGUAAGUAUCAAAAGCCUAACUGGGAUCCAAUAUGUUUCUACCCUGAGGAAGAAAGAGGUAUCAUCUACCCUCACAACGACCCACUGAUCGUGGAAGCUCACAUAGCCAACUUUGAAGUACGACGAAUCCUGGUAGACACGGGGGCUUCGGUCAAUAUCAUGUUUGCUGAAGCUUUCAGGGCACUUAAUGUAGCUGAACACUUGCUCGAUCGCUCGAUUUCCCCUCUGAUAAGCUUCUCCGGUGAUAUCGUGCAACCUUUGGGGAGCAUACACUUACCUUUCACCAUUGGUACAGGCCCUUACACAGCUACCAUUACCACUAACUUCCUGGUGGUUGAUUGCCCAACGGCAUACAAUGUCAUCUUCGGACGCACAGGCAUCAAUGAUCUCAAGGCCAUGGUAUCCACACAUAUGUUGUUGAUGAAAUUUCCAACCCCCUAUGGCAAUGGUUACAUCAGAGGAGAUCAACUUAGUGCACGAUCAUGUUACAACACUUCGGUCAAGCAACAACACCUGCCUGUGCCCAAGGAAACCCUUUCUAUACAUGACCAAGUCAUAAAAGACCAGCCCAGACGAAGCCAACUUGGAUCUUCACGGUGGCAACAGUCAACCCGACGAUCCUCGAGAUGACUCUUUCACCCAGCAAGCACAACCCGCUGAAGAGUUGGAGAAGGUCUCUAUCUCAAAAGAUUAUCCGGAUCGCAUGGUGAAGAUUGGCACCACCUUGUCACCACCCAUUCGGUUGGCAUUGAUCUCUUUUUUUUUGCAAGAGAACACUGAGGUCUUCGCCUGGUCAUACGAGGACAUGCCAGGCAUCUCUCCCGAUAUCAUCUGUCAUCGCUUAAGUAUUGACCCCAAGACCAAGCCAGUGAGACAGAAGCGAAGAUCUUAUGACGCUGAACGGUACGAGGCAAUGAAGGCAGAAGUUGAAAAACUCAAAGGCAUAGGCUUCGUCCGCGAAGUCAAUUAUCCAACGUGGGUAGCAAAUGUUGUCCUUGUUAAGAAGAAUCCGACCAAGGAAAGUCUCCUGCUCCAAAAGGUCUUGUGGAGAAUGUGUGUCGAUUACACCGACCUAAACAAAGGAUGCCCGAAAGAUAGCUUUCCUCUUCCUCUCAUAGACAGACUUAUAGACUCUACGGCAGGGUGUGAACUUUUGAGCUUCAUGGAUGCUUACUCAGGAUACAACCAAAUCCUCAUGAACCCCUCGGACCAAGAACACACAGCCUUCACUACUGACAGGGGACUAUAUUGCUAUAAAGUCAUGCCCUUCGGCCUAAAGAAUGCAGGAGCGACUUAUCAGAGACUGGUCAAUUCAAUGUUCGCCGAACAGAUUGGGAAGAGCAUGGAAGUUUACGUUGAUGAUAUGCUAGUCAAGAGCAAACAUGCUGACCAACACAUCACCAACCUAUCUGAAACUUUCACCAUUCUGAAGAGGUAUCGAAUGAGGUUGAACCCCAACAAAUGUGCCUUCGGCGUAGGCUCUGGCAAAUUCUUAGGCUUCAUGAUAAGCCAACGAGGCAUUGAGGCUAAUCCCGAGAAGAUCAAAGCAAUCCUCGACAUGAAGGAACCGGUAACUUCAAAAGACAUCCAAAGCCUUACUGGCAAGGUGGCAGCCUUAACUAGGUUCAUCUCUAAGGCCACAGACAGAUGUGCUCCUUUCUUCAAAGCACUUAAGGGAAGUAAGAAGUACAUUACAUGGACUGAUGAAUGUGCUGAGGCAUUCAAGAACCUCAAAGACUACAUGAGUAAAGCCCCUCUGCUCUCCAAACCUGAGGUUGGUGACACUCUCAUUAUCUAUCUGUCGGUAUCGGCUUCAGCAGUAAGUUCCGUUCUCAUUCGAAAGGAUGGUAAUGUCGAACGGCCUGUCUACUACGCUAGCAAGGCCUUACAAGAUGCGGAGACACGAUACUCCAACAUUGAGAAAUUGGCUCUAGCAUUGGUCAUGUCUGCUCGAAAACUUCGCCCUUACUUCCAAGCACACUCCAUCAUCGUGCUUACCAAUCAUCCUCUUUGACAGAUACUCCAAAGUCCUGACACUUCCGGGCGAAUGAUCAAAUGGGCGAUAGCAUUGGGUGAGUUUGACAUCUCCUACCAACCAAAGCCAGCUGAGAAGGGCCAAGCAGUGGCAGACUUCAUCGCCGACUUCACAUAUCCUGUUGACAUUGUUUCUACGCCUAAAAAAGUGGUUUCAUUACCCUCGGAAGCUCAGAAAAUAGAACCAACAGCCCCAGCAUGGAGUCUAUAUGUUGAUGGCUCGUCCAACCAACAGGGUUGUGGAGCAGGACUAGUCCUUACGACCCCUGACAAAGUGGCGAUGGAGUAUGCUCUUCGUUUCAAAUUCAAGGCGUCGAACAAUGAGGCCGAAUAUGAAGCCCUCCUAGCAGGCUUACGUUUGGCCAAACACCUUGGGGUUAAACGAAUUGAUAUCUUCAGUGACUCCCAAUUGGUGGUUAACCAGGUCACCAACAACUUUGACGCUAAGGAUAGCUCCAUGGCAGCAUAUCUGGCACAAACACAAUUGUUGCUCAAGCACUUCCACUACCAGAUCACCCAAAAUUCCUCGAGCGGCAAACAGUCAUGCAGAUGCUUUGGCUCGCCUCGCCUCAGCGGUGGAAGACAAGAUUGGGAGAAAAAUUCAGGUCGAAUUGUUGGCAGCACCAAGCACCAUGGCUGCGGAAGUGUGCAACUUACAACAGGGGGAUAGUUGGAUUACCCCGAUUUAUAGAUUCCUUGCUCAUGGCACCCUUCCAAAUGACAAAGUCCAAGCUAAGCAGAUUCGAUACAAGGCUACCCGUUACUUGAUCAUUAAUGACCAACUCUACAAGCGGGGUUUUAACCUACCAUACCUAAGAUGCCUUACGCCUGCAGAGGCGGAAAUUGUCCUUCGGGAAAUACAUGAAGGAGUCUGCGGAGAUCAUGCUGGAUCUCGAUCCCUAGCACACAAGGCUUUUCGCCAAGGAUAUUACUGGCCAACACUCCACCAAGAUGCCAUCAGAAUAUCCCGCUCAUGUGAUAAGUGUCAACGCUACGCAACUAUUCCUCACUCCCCUCCCGAGCCGCUCACUCCUAUGAUCAGCCCUUGGCCCUUCGCCCAAUGGGGACUUGAUUUGAUUGGGCCCAAUGCCUGCAGGGAAGGGCAAGGUUCGCUAUGCAAUCGUUGCAGUUGACUACUUCACAAAGUGGGCCGAAGUAGAACCCUUGGCAACCAUUACUGAGGCAAAAAUAGAAGACUUCGUAUGGAAGAACAUCCUUUGCAGAUUCGGCAUUCCCAAUGCGAUAGUCACUGACAACGGGCGACAGUUCGACAACAAUAAGUUCAGGAUGUUCUGCUCUAAGUUCAACAUCAACUUAUGUUUUGCCUCCCCAGCUCAUCCCCAGUCUAAUGGACAAGUUGAAGCCAUCAACAAAAUAAUCAAGCGAACUUUGAAAACCAGCUUGGACAAGGCUAAAGGUUGUUGGCCAGAAUUUGUACCCCAAGUUCUUUGGUCAUACCGCACUUCGUAUCGGACAUCAACAGGAGAAACCCCAUUCUCACUUGCCUUUGGUACAGAGGCAGUUGUCUCAGUUGAGCUUGAGCAAGCAACGUUCCGAGUCCAGAACUACGUGCAAAGCGAAAAUGACAAACAACUUACCCUCAACUUAGAUCUAGUCGAGGAACACAGAAACCAGGCUCACUUGAGGAAUGUCGCCUACAAGCAGCGCAUCUCCAACUACUAUGACUCAAGGGUCAAACCUCGUUCUUUCAAAGUGGGGGACUGGGUAUUGAAGAAAAGAUUACUCUGCGACAGAGUCCCGAGUGAAGGAACACUUAGUCCAAACUGGGAUGGACCGUUUGAAGUUGUUGGCAUCAGUCGCCCUGGCUCCUACAAGCUUAGAAGCUCCGAUGGCAAGACCCUUGGCCAUCCAUGGAACGCUGAUCACUUGAAGUACUAUUACAAGUAAACUCACAUUGUACAAGUGUUAAGCUUCAGCCGUUCGGCAUCCUAUGUAACGAAGACUAUUUGGCAUGAAUUCAAUAAAGAGGUGAUUUAGACAACUCGGUCCUAAUCCUCUUACAUUCCUAGCAAUGAAACACUCGGGUUCAAAGCUUCAACAUGAAUGCUUCCAACAUGAAACAAAGUCUAAGUAUAUGUCAACAAGACUAUACAAAUAAACGAACAGCUUCACAGUAUAUUCGUUCAAUCAUACAUUCCAACACAUUCAUACAUAAGCCAACUGUGCUUUGAAAGGGUUCAACAUACUUUGUGUCAUUCGACACUUGCUACAAUGUGCCUAGACACCUUGCCCUUAUUCUCACCAACCAGGUGAUGAAAUGUGAAGAAGGAACUCAUCUUCAUGCCACCAAACCAGGUGAUGAAAAUGUACAACCCGUACUCUAAUAUCAUUUGGCAACUUGCCACUCAUGCCACCAACCAGGUGAAGAAGGAACUCAUCUUCAUGCCACCAACCAGGUGAUGAAAUGUACAAACCAUGUACUCUUCCUUCAUGCCACCAACCAGGUGAUGAAAUGUACAACCCGUACUCUAAUAUCAUUUGGCAACUUGCCAUUCAUGCCACCAACCAGGGGAAGAAGGAACUCAUCCUCGUGCCACCAACCAGGUGAUGAAAUGUGAUGAAAGGUGAUGAAGGAACUCACCUUCGUACCACCAACCAAGUGAUGAAAGCAACUCACCAUUCAUUCCACCUACCAGAAGACGAGUGGUACAACUUGUACAUGUGAACUCCUAGCAUUCACAAAUAAUCAAAAACCCUCAAGCUUGACAACUCAACUAGGGGAGCACUUAUGCCCAACAAGAGUUAUAGUCACCAACAAAGUCUUAUUGCAAGCCAACAACAACUUCAGUGCAUGGCAUACGAAGAUCAAGCUAUUCAGCCCUCUUGCAUCUGCUUCAAAACAUUUCCCCUCUGUAACAAUGCAAACACUACAACUCGUAGAAAGCUUCACACACUCUUGAUCAAGACAGUGUGAAGCAAAAACCAAUUUAUGGUGCCAACAAGAGCUUCAUCAAUGGAGGGCAACCACAAUUCUCAAAAGCUUCACACACUCUUGAUCAAGACAGUGUGAAGCAAAACCAAUUUAUGGUGCCAACAAGAGCUUCAUCAAUGGAGGGGCAACCACAAUUCUCAAAAGCUUCACACUCUUGAUCAAGACAGUGUGAAGCAAAACCAAUUUAUGGUUGCCAACAAGAGCUUCAUCAAAGGAGCUUCACACACUCUUGAUCAAGACAGUGUGAAGCAAAAACCAAUUUAUGGUGCCAACAAAAAAGCUUCAUCAAUGGAAGGCAACCACAAUUCUCAAAAGCUUCACACACUCUUGAUCAAGACAGUGUGAAGCAAAACCAAUUUAUGGUGCCAACAAAAGCUUCAUCAAUGGAGGGUUCAACCACAAUUCUCAAAAGCUUCACACACUCUUGAUCAAGACAGUGUGAAGCAAAACCAAUUUAUGGUGCCAACAAAAGCUUCAUCAAUGGAGGGCAACUACAAUUCUCAAACUUUUGAAGCAAAUUCAAGACUGUUCGAAGCAAAUUCAAUUUAUAUGGAUCAUCCAAACCUUCGACUACUACAAGGUGUGGCUUGCAUCACAAUCUCUUGCUCAACAGUGUGGAAGCAAAAUUUGUAUAUGUUGUAUCUCCCAUAUUUUCAAAUUCUACUUUCCAAAAAAGAUUGGGAAAUUCAACAAAGCUUCAUCAAUGGAAGACAACUACAAAUUCUCAAAAGCUUCAAGAUAGUGUCAAGCAAAAUCAAUUCGUGCAAAAGCUUCAUCAAUGGAGGACAACUACAAAUUCUAAAAAGCUUCGCACUAUCUUGAUCAAGAUAGUGUGAAGCAAAAUCAAUUCAUGGUACCCAACAAAAGCUUCAAUUCCAAAGCUUCAUCUACAAAAGCUUCACCCACAAUAGCUUCACCUACAAAAUCUUCACCCACAAAAUCUUCACCAACAAAAGCUUCACCCACAAAAGCUUCACCCACAAAAGCUUCACCCACAAAAGCUUUCCCCACCACGAAAGCUUCACCCAUAAAAGCUUCACCAACAAAAGCUUCACCCACCACAAAAGCUUCACCCACAAAAGCUUCACCUACAAAGCUUCAACACAAAAGCUUCACCUACAAAAGCUUCACAAAAAUUCGAAAAAUCGAAAAAAAAAAAUUCGAAAAAAAAAUUACCUAGGUCUCCUAUUCUUUGGGCCUAACAACUUUCAUAACAAAUAUAUAUGAAGGAGUUUUGGGCUACCACUUAGAAAGGAAAUGCGUCAUUCGUCAACUCCCUCGACCGGAGACUUGGGGGUCUCUUACCAUAUGCUAUUGCACCUUGAUACUCGGAAGUCUCACGACCACUCAGUGACUUAGAUUUUUCACGUCUCCAAACGAGAAGUUUUCCUCACUCGAGAAAUUAAGGUAGCACUACCUCACCCUACAUGCUUCACUCACAAAGCUUCAACAUACAAGCUUCAACAAAAGGAAAAAUUCAAAGAACUUAGUGAAGAAGGCCUUGGUGUAUUUAACACAAUACGUUGAAAUGAAGCAAAGCUUGUUUAUUGAUAUCUCCGAUAAGUUACAAAUAUGUACAUAUACAUGAAUCAAAAUAAACAAACAAGAGGGAGCCUUCACAAAGGUUGCUCAUGAGAAGUCUCAGCAGUCGGCAGAGCCCCAGAAAGAGGAGGCACCAGAAGGUGAUUAUUCAGAGCCUCAGUGCUAGGCAGAACCCCAGAAAGAUGAGGCACCGAAGGUUGAUCAUUUGGAGCUUCAUUACGCGGUACAGCCCCAGAAGACGAAAGUAAUAAAUGCCUUUGGAACAAACCCAUAAACCUCUGAUGAUCAAGUAAAAUCUGACCAUCAGAUUCUUGCAGCGGGUCGAGCUUCCUCUUCAUGUUUGUAGCAUAGUCAUGUGCGAGCCUGUGCAACUGUUUAUUCUCAUGCUUGAGCCCUCUGAUCUCCUGUUUGAGACUUAUCACUUCAGUUGCCAAUGAUUCAACUUGGCAGGUUUGAGCAAACAGGCGUUGGGCCAUAUUAGACACAAAACCUGCACACUGAACACUAAGAGCCAGAGAAUCCUUAACAGCCAACUCAUCAGACCGUUUGGAAAGUAGUCUGUUAUCUUUAGAGUGAGAAGGUUCCUGGCCACCACCGUAGCGGUCAUAUCAUUCUUCAUCACAGAGUCCCCAACGGUAAGAGGACCAGUAGGGGAUAGGAAGGAUGGGCACCAUAUGUUGUCUUGAGAAGGCAUGACUGCCUCUGCACCAAAGUUCAAGUCAAAACGACGGUCGGAUGAGCCAGACAUUCUCAAAAAUGAUGAAGGAGAAAUAAGGUGCAAUAAAUCUUUGAAGUAAGAGGAAAAUUCCUACAAACAAUAACUUGAAGGAAAAAUUUUGUCCUAGCUAAGAACAAGUAUGAACAUUUGAAUACACAUGCAAGCUAUCAACACUUUAAAGUAGGCAUGCAUCCAAAAACAAUUCAUAAAACCCAUGACUUUCAAAGCCUAGUAUAUGGUGAACCAAAAUAAACUCUUUAACAAAAUUAAAGAGAAGUAAAGAUUUAGUGAUUCUUUACCCUUGAAGCUCAUCCUUGUUUACACAAGGGAUUCACCCAAGUGGAGGGCCUUCAAGUCACCUCCAAGCUCCUUGAAUCCUCCUUGUGUUUUCCUCCCUUUAGUGCUCCUUUGAUGAUUAGAGGAAAAAGGAUUUGUUCUCCAAAAACAUCAAAAGCUUGAUGUCUCUAAGUCUCUUCACCAAGGUUGUAUAUUGUGAAGAUGAUAUGGAUGACUUAGAGAGAUUUUAGAUGCUAGUAAAAAUCCUCUAAGUGGCCGGCCACUAUGUAGAAAAAGAGAGAAAAAUGUUUCACCCAAUUUCUAUUAGAAAACCCUAAUGAGAAAAUUGCUAUAAAGUUGCUUUUAUAACAUUUUCUUUGGUGAGUGGCAAACUUGCAAUUAAGCAAGCUUGCCCAUUCACCCUAAUGGCCGGCCUCUCCUUGUUAUUGGGCUAAUUUGCCCAUUUUGUUUUAGUUGUCAUACAACUUAAACAUAAUGGGCCUUGUGGACCAACACUUUUGGGCCCCGAAACCCAAAACCAACAUAUAAGCCCAAUACGAACCUUUCGUAUAAUUAAUUAACUAAUUAAUUAAUCUUGACCAUUCUUCAAUUAAACCAUUUAAUUGCUUAUCCAUUUCAUAUAAUUUCUUCACUAACAUCCUUAUGUGGUGUGCGAUCCAUUAGGUUCCAAUUAGCGAGGCAGUGGGCGAUGUUACUCUUAACGAUCGAUUGUGAAUUGAAACCACAUUUCAAUUCUCCCUUAAGAUUAGUGCUUGCUAAUCUUCAGGGCUUCCACAAACCAUGAGUGACACCUAGCAGCAUAUCAUGGUUACCCAAGCUAAGUAGAAUUGGUUGGAGAACCUAUCCAGUUACAACUACAAUGCAAUACGGUCCUUCUCUAAUACAAUACUCUUAAUCACAUUGUUUAAGUGAUAGUUUGUUUCAUGUCUACUAUCCAAUGUGAUACUUUCCUAUAUGAUUCCUUUGAAUAUGAUUUGGAACAAACUUCCUAAGUCAUAUUCAUAUGCUUUGGCCAAAGACUUUAGAAUCAUAUCUUAGAGUAUUCUCCUUCCACCAUGGAAGGUUAGAGAUCCCUUGUUGUGCAUUCAUAUGCCUACAUGACUAGAUAGCUUGACCCCAACAAUGCCGUGGACAAUCCGAAGGAAUGCCAUUGACAUAAUCAAAGAUCAAGGACCUAACCAUUAGACAUCUAUGAUGCCUCAGGUCAAAGGACUACUUUGCAUAUUGCAACUUUAGAGUUCAUACAUGACAUGUAUGUUCGAACUCUCUUUUGAUCGACGUUCAGUGUACUCGAUUACUCUUUCGAGCACCUAUGUGUUUGUCUCAGUGUCCAACACCAAAUGACUUGAGACUAGUUCAUACUCACGUUUGAGUCAACAUAACACAUACUAACCUUAGCGGAUUAUCAAUGCCCAAUUGGCAAUCCUAUGGCUAGGAACGUUUUAGGAAUGAUCAUAAGAGAGAGGUCUCGAUAAUCUAACUCAUUAGAUCACUUCUCUCUUAGAACAAAUACAUUCCUUGGAUUCCCUUAUUGCUUAAACACAUGAUACAAUAAAUAGUGAUUAACAAUAAGCUUUGCCCUUCAUUAAACAUACAAAAGUUUAAUACAAUAAGUAUUCCAAAAGCUAUUACAUCAAAUGAGUGGCUUUGUGGGCAUACUUCCAACAUAACUCUCUUAAUGUACUUCUUGCACACAAUGGGUGCCCUUAUAAAAGAAAGGGCAACAGGGCCGUUGGUUCAAAAAUCGAAGAGGCACUACUCUCCGGAUUCCGAAGAGGCACCACUUUCCACACUCAACAUCAGCUCCUCGGGUACCACAUAUAACUUUGUCAAAGAUCUUUGACAAAGUUUAGACUCAUAAAUUUUGAAGGUCCAGCUACCCUACUAUUACCCACAAGGGUAAAGGAACAGCACCACUGCUUGAUAACUAGAAAGUCCCAAUAUGUGUCAACCUCUGUGCUCUGUGACAAGACAGACUGGCAAAAAUGCCCAACCUUUACUCACAUUUGAGAAAAUACUCCCAACAAGAUUGCUUGCUAAAAAAUUGAAAAAGCAUCGCUCUCUGAAUCUCGAGAGCCAGACUCCCAAUAGGAUUACGUGCUAAAAAAUCGAAGAGGCACCGCCCUCCGAAUCUCGAGAGCCAAACUCCCAACAGGAUUACUUUCUCAAAAAUCGAAGAGACACUGCUAUUCGAAUAUCAAGAGUCAGACUCCCAACAAGAUUGCUUUCUCAAAAAUCGAAGAGGCACCGCUUUACGAAUCUCGAGAGCCAGACUCCCAAUAGGAUUUCGUGCUCAAAAAUCAAAGAGGCACCGCUCUCCGAAUCUCGAGAACCAGACUCCCAACAGGAUUACGUGCUCAAAAAUCGAAGAGGCACCGGUAUCUGAAUCUCGAGAGCUAGACUCCCAACAGGAUUACUUUCUCAAAAAUCGAAGAGACACUACUCUCCGAAUCUCAAGAGUCAGACUCCCAACAAGAUUGCUUUCUCAAAAAUCGAAGAGGCACCGUUCUCUGAAUCUCGAGAGCCAGAUCCCCGACAAGAUUGCUUGUUCGAAAACCAAAGAUGCACCGCUCUCUGUACUUCGAGAGCCAGAUUUCCUUGGAUAAAGCUUGUCUGAAAUCUUCACACGCAACAUCAGCUUUCCAGAUACCACAGACCACUUUUUCAAAGUGCUCUGACAAAGUUAAAACACGUGAAGCUUGCAGCUCCCACUACAUUGCUAUGACCAAGAAGGGUAAAGGAAUAGCACUACUACUUGUUGUUAGGGAGACUCCUAUAUAUGUCGACCUCCAUCCUCCACAGCCAGGCAGACCUGCAAAUAAAAAAAAUGCUCAACUUUUCUUCACAUCCGAGAGGGCACUCUCAGCAGAGUCUCUCGAAAUACUCAGCUUUUUUUCCUCCCGAUAAUACCUCUGCAAACAAGCCACACUAGAGCAAGAGUAUCUCAUAUCAUCAGGGUUAAAAGCAAGAGUAUCCCAUAUCAUGAUUUUUCCCUGUCUUUUCCUUUGGCAUUGUUCUUACCUGCAAGACAAAAAGAAAGAGAGCAAUCAGUCAGCACUUGGAAUCAAGCUUCCAGUCAGGAACUGACUGCCUUGAACCCCUUGCCUGAUUACUUACCUGACAUUGCUCUCGAGUACUCAUAUUCAACAUCUUAUGCUUCCAGAAAAGAUACCACAUAUGCCUGAAGAACAGAUAGGGCAAGUGAGAAAGAUACAAUGAAGCAUGUGGAGACAAGCGUAACAAAACACGUGCCGAUACAUCCACUACUUUGUCAAUAGCAAAAGUAUCCUAUAUCAUCCGGGUCAAACGUACUCUAGAUUUAAUGGACUUGUUUUGACCCUCAAAUUCUUGAGUCGGCCUUAUACUUUGGAGGAAACCAGAAAACCCUCCAGCCCAGUUCAAGAAUAAGCAUGUGGAAAGUUACUUCUUCAAAAGCAAAAGUAUCUCAUAUCAUUUCUUCUCCAUUUGCUUCUCCUUAUCCUUGUUGCUGUUUACGACACAAUGAGAAGGAGAACAAUCAACCGGAAGCUGAAGUCAAACCUCUGAUCCAGGUUGCUUGCUUGGAAGUCUGAUUGCUUACCUUGUCUGUUACCUCCUUCAGCAAAUCUCCUAGCUCGGUGACUUAGGGGACUCCUACUAUAGGGUUUGUAUCGCACUUGACCAAGCCCGAAACUACAAGUAAGCUUCAAGUGAAAUUGAUACAUUACCUUGUGCAUCUUCAUCGGUUAAAGAUACCACCCCUGGAUGAAGGAAAAGUACUUCCAGAGAAGAUGCCACAUCUACAUAUGAGACAGAUAAGGGAAGUGAAAAUGAUACCACACUUCGGUACUUAGAAGUUUCGUGAUUACUCAAUGGCUUGGAUCUUGCAAGUCCCCAUCCGUGGAGCUUCCUUCACUUGAGAGCUUAGGGGAGCACUGUUUGUACCAUACUUGACCAAUCCCGAAACUACUGAGCAUCGGUUAACAUUAUACCGUCAAGGACCCAGAAGAGUUUCCCUUCAACCAGGAGACCAAUCACAGCGCGACACAUGUUGACAUCAAAAGCCAAUCAUAAUGCGAUACGUGUCAAUAUCAGAAGCCAAUCACAACACGACACGUGUCAAUGUUAGAAUGAAACUAGAAACUCUCUUCUAUAAAUAGAGAUCAUUCUCUCACAAUAUUUCCUAAUGUCAUUUGUACUAAUUCAUUCACUAGUACUCACAAAAUGAGAGCUUGAACCUAUGUACUUGUGUAAACCCUUCACAAUUAAUGAGAACUCCUCUACUCCGUGGACGUAACCAAUCUGAGUGAACCACGUACAUCUUGUGUUUGCUUCUCUGUCUCUAUCCAUUUACAUACUUAUCCACACUAGUGACCAGAGCAAUCUAACGAAGGUCACAAACUUAACAUUUUCUGUUGUACCAAAGUUCUCACUGAUUUUGUGUAUCAAUAGGUGCAAUGCAGUUAACUUCAACGUGAGCUCUUGUCAAUUUUUGUGGUUGUAUUUUGAUUUCGUACUUCUUGUUGUAAAUGAAAUAGAAAUUCUAUGCAGCUCUCUUCUUGUGAAUCGCUUGUCAGGGGAGAUUCCAAAGGAGUUGGGAAAUAUUACUACUCUUACACAACUGUAAGCUUAGAUGUUUCGUUUUUCUCAGUAAUUAUUUUUUGAUCAUGGACUUAUUGUAACUAAGAUUGGCAGGGUCUCCAUCCCCGUCUCCCUGGAUUACAUUCUGCUAUUACUUCAAAAGCUGCAGAAGCUUUUCUAUUUGCAUCCAUUGUGAAACCCUUUUUUCCCCUCCAAUUUGGACUUUCUCGCAGUCAAUGAAAGUGAUUCUGGCUUGCUCUUUCCAAUCUCAAUGUUCUUUUUAUUUUUUGACAAUCAGGCAUCUUGAAGCAAAUCAAUUCUGCGGAGUUGUUCCCCCUGAGCUUGGGAGUUUAAUCAACUUGGGAACUAUGUAAUGCAAUUUUCCUUUUAGACAAAUUUGGUUCUUUAUAUAUUUUUUGGUACACUGUUAACACUUUUUGAAGGAUGAACGAUAGGUGAAAAUUGAUGGUUCAUUGCUUUGGCAUUGGAAUUGCAGGACGUUGUCCUCCAAUCGUUUGACUGGAAACUUACUGAUGACAUUUUCUGGGCUAAGAAAUUUGACAGACUUGUAAGUGUUUUCUGUGUGUUUGUUUUUUAAUGUCUAAAAACCUGCUUCCGUGUCACCUGAUACAAUUUUAUUGUCCAAUGCAGUAGAAUAAACGAUAACAACUUCAAUGGAACAAUAACUGAUUUUAUACAGAAUUGGAAACAACUCGAGAGAUUGUAAGAUCUUUUGCUUUUGAAAAAAUUCAGACCUGCCGUUUAAAUCAUUAUAGAUUAGCCAAAUUACUUCAGACUUAUUUGUUUCUAACGUCUCAUGUAUGCGUGAAAUAUGUAUAUUUUGGAUCGUUGAAGAGAAAAAUGGGACAGAGCAGGCCUAGUAAGAUUGUACGUCGAGUAUUUGUAUCAUCCAAUACCAUGAAGAUGUUAGUUAUAUUUACCUUUGACGCCAGUUUUUCUAAUGCUAUUUAGUUACAUAUAUUAGGGUUCUGAGAAACUGUAACAUUUCUGGAGAGAUUCCUCCAUACGUCUGGACAAUGCAAAACCUUGAAAUGUUGUAAGUAGUGUGUGAACUUGGGGACUGAUUGCACUGUUGUCAACUGGGAAGGCAGUUUGAUUAUAUUUUUGUAUUCUGAUUGUUAUAGGGAUGUCAGUUUUAACAAGUUAGCAGGGAAAAUUCCAGCCACAUUGAACUUAGAGCGUUUGAGAUUCCUGUAAGUAUAACCUUCUGAUACAUUAACUAUGAACUAUUUUGGGAAUGAAACUUAAGAUUUUUAGGUUGCUGCAUGCUUAAUUGUUUUUUCUUUCGUUAUAUAAUCAAAUAAUGAAUAUUGAUGUAACACUCCAAAAAUUUGAAGUUGCUUUCUGUAGAUUUUUAACUGGCAACUCUAUGAGUGGAAGUUUACCAGACUCAGUGCUCAAGGAUGGAAGUAACGUGUAUGUCUGAUACUUAUUUUCAACGCGUCAUCGUAUUUCUUUUUCUCUUUUGAUAUAUUUGCAACUUACCUUUACCUUCCAUGCUUCUCUUUGUACCCAAGAUCUUUCCCAUGAGUGUAUUAUUACUAAGUUGGUACUAACACUGGCAUUCUGGGAGCUAACCAGUUUAGCAUUUUACGAUGAUUGCACAUAUGGAAGAUUUUUCAGUCUCACCUUUUCCUUGAUGUAUAUUAUUUUCCAAAAUCUGCAAUGUGCUUUGCUAUAAAAUACAUGUACAGUACCAGACUACCAGUCCCCUGUUUCCAUUUUUUCAUUUCCUUAGUUGAUCUUCCUUUUUCUUUUUGGCUUUGACGGAGAGGGGAUGCUAGUCCGCAAAAUGGCAUCUCGUGGAGCAACAUCUUUCUAGGCCCCGAGAGUGACCUUUACGAUUUUUUUCUUGCAUGCAGUGAUCUUUCGUACAAUAACUUCACAUGGCAAGGCCCCCAGAAACCUGCUUGUCAAGACAACAUGUCAGAAUACUUGUCUAGUAAAUAUUCAUGUUUUAUGCCGGUUUUAUAGGAUUAAAACUGAUCAUUGUUUAACGUAUUUCCCUAUUGUUAGCAAUCUAAACCUGAACUUGUUCCGGAGCUCUUCAAGAGAAAACAACUUGUAAGAUUGUCUCUCUGUCUUGCUUUCUUUUGUUGCAUUAUAGCAAUCACAAAAAUGUUCAUAUAUGCAAGGUGUACAUUCCAUGUUAACAUAUUUUUCCACUCAAUUAUGGUAGAAGGAGAGGUCUUCCAUACUUGAAGAAUCUCGACUGUCCACGAUGUAAGGAUAUAUUUAAGAUUAUAUACACAAUAAAGUAAAUUCUUCUGAUUAUAAAGUGUUUGUUUCAAAAAAAAAAAUGCUGGCAGUGAAGUUUGAAACCCGCUUUGCCUGAAAUUUUUUUACAUAGAACAUUAUAUAAUUCGAAACUUUAAUGUUUUCAUCACUGUUAUGUGUUAGUAGAUAGUUGCAUUGCAUCCUUAGUACGUUAUUAUCCAGCAUUCUUUCGUGUUCUCUCACUUAUACUUUUAUUUUAACGUAUUAUGCCAGUUUCAACUUGUUUGCAUGUUAAUUGUGGUGGAAAUGUCAUCACUGUCGAAGGAAACAAACGAAAUAUUGUGUAUAUGAAGGAGAAGGAGGCGUUGAAGGUGGCACUGCAGAUUUUUUUAUAAAUGAUCCAUCUUAUUGGGGAUUUAGUAGCACUGGAGACUUCAUGGAUGAUGCGCCCACCUAGACCCCGCCUAGCCACCUAGGCGCUAGGCCCUAGUCCGCCGCCCGACUAGCGCCUAGCGUCUUUUAGAACCUUGCUAAAUAACAAUUUCAUUCAUCAAUAGUCAUGGAAUUUCAUAUCAAUAAUUAACAAUCAAUAAUUAAUAACUAUAUUGAUUAAUUACUAUAUGAUUCUAUAUCAAUUAAAUAAAAAUUUCGUAUUGAAUAAACAAUUAGGGUUAAGGCUAAUAUACAUUUAGAAAUUAAAAACUUUACAGAACGGCGCUGGAGGUUUGCUGGAUGCUUGCGAGUUGCGGCUUGGAUGGCUUAAAGGCUUCAAGCCUUAAAGUCCGGAAGCAAUGGAAGGUGGCCAACGUGAUAGGAUAAUGGGGGCUUGGUGAUGACUCAGCAUCUUGACUUGAUGAUGUGGCAGUAUUGUUAGGAUAGUAUUGUUUAGUCAGCAAUAUCUGUUAAGCUGUUAGGCAGUUAGGAGUUGGUGGCUUAAAGGUUAAGCUACCUAGUGCUAUAUUAGGAAGGAUUGUAAAAGAAGGGUUGUGAUUGAUUUGUUGAUUGUAAUAAGAAAUACUCUGUUACGGUACAUUGAGUGAGAUGCAGAGUUAGGGUUGUAUCAUUGGUAUCAGCCAAGGCUUCCGGUUCUACUUGAUCCUUCCUCGUGUAUGACUCGCCUUACUUCUAGAAGAACCAUGGAUACUCAUGUAUCGAAGCUCGAAUCUAUGUUCGUUGAUCUCCAUAAUGAAUUCAAGGAAUCCAGGAAUGAAUUCAAGGAAUACAAAGAGAAAUAUCGCGCGACCCAAGAGUUGAUUCUUCAACAGUUGCACUCUUUGUCUUCGAAUGGUAGUGAUUCUCUCGGUGAAUCGUCAAAAGAUAUCCAUUCCAAUCCGAUUCUUCAAGAAAGGAUGAAUCCGAAUCUGGAUCCUCAUUUUUUUUCACUCCGAUUCGAUUCCCAACUCAUUGAAUUCAAGGUCUCCGUUUCUUAAGAUGGAUUUUCCCCGAUUAGGUGAUGGGGAUGAGCCAUUGGCGUGGAUCUUAAAAGCGGAGCACUACUUUGAUUUCUUCAAUAUCGAAGACUUCAAGAAAGUAAAGAUGGCCUCCUUCCAUUUUCAUGGUGAACCCCUCCAGUGGUUUGAAUGGGCGAAUUGUUGGUGAAUUUUCCCAAAUGGGAGGAGUUCACAAGGGCUCUUUGUCAAGAAUUUGGGCCGUCUGAGUUUGAGGAUUUGGCUGAAAGUCUGGUGAAAUUACGGCAAACGGGUUCGUUACGCGAUUAUAUUUUGGAAUUCAAAAAGUUAGUCAAUCGUAAACCAGACAUCAAUCCUCCUCUUCUGAAAUCUUGCUUCAUUGGGGGUUUAAAUUUGAAUUCGGCAUGAUGUGAAGAUUUUGAAGCCAAGGAAUGUUCUUGAAGCUACAGCUUACGCUUAACAACUCGAUGCCAAAUUGUCAGAUUUAAAGAUCAAGCCUUUCUCUUGUUCUUCUGGUAAUUCCUCAUUUUGUACUCCUUUACAGAAUGUUGCUAAUGUGACUAUGGGGGAUAAUAAACCAAGAAUUGAAAAUGUUCGAAGAACAACACCAUAGGAAGUAGAAUAUUGCAGAAAACAUUGCUUAUGCUUUCAUUGUAAAGACAAGUAUGUUAGGGGACAUUCUUGUGAGAAGAAACAACUCUUGCUUAUUGAUGUGCAAACCUCUAGUGAUGAUGAAAAUUCUAAGGAUGAUAAUCUAGAACUUGAAAUCACAUCAUGUGCACUUUUUGGGACUCCAGAUCCUAAAUCUAUUAAAACAAUGAAGGUGGUUGGUAGUAUUAAGAUUUGUUUUGUGGUUAUUCUUAUCGAUUCGGGUAGUUCGCAUAAUUUCAUUGACUCAUCUUUGGUUAAAAAGGUUAAGGGUCAAAUGGACACUUCUCAUUCAUUUAGUGUGAGAAUUACUAAUGGGGGAAAAGUGAAUUAUGUGGGAUCCUUAGGGGCUACAUCUUUGAAGGUACAAGAUUAUCAGUGUGUUAUUGAUUUAUAUGCUAUGCCACUUGGGGGAUGUGAUAUUGUUUUUGGGGUGCAUUGGUUGAGAACCCUCGGGCCAGUUCUUUGGGAUUUCGACAAGCUGUACAUGAAGUUUCAAAAAGGCAAUACUACUUAUUAUCUCUCUAGUCCGAAAACACCUACUGAGUUUAUUCAAGAUGUCUCAAUCUUUCAAAUGGAGAAGUUACUGCAACAAGAAUCUUCGGUAUGAGCUUUUCUUUUUCAGUUACAGUCUGAGGAAAGUGUUCAACAACCAAAUGUCUUAACUGCUGAGCAAUCUGUGGAGUUGCAGAAUCUAUUGCAAAAUUAUGACAGUGUCUUUCUCACCCCCUAAUGCUUGCCUCCUCAUAGAUCCCAUGAUCAUAGGAUUCCAUUAAUGGAAGGUAGUCAACCACCCAGCAUGAGGCCUUAUAGAGAUGGUCAUUUACAAAAAACAGAAAUUGAGAAGUGUGUGUAAGAUUUAUUGGAUGCUGGUUUCAUUAGAGUUAGUAACAACCCAUACUCUUCACCGGUUAUUUUGGUCAGGAAAAAGGAUGAAACUCGGAGAAUGUGUAUGGAUUACAGAGCUUUAAAUUUGAUAACUAUCAAGGACAAAUACCCUAUCCCAUUGAUCGAGGAGUUGCUUGAUGAACUUUUUAGGGCUCAGUUUUUCUCUAAGUUGGAUUUGAGAUCAGGAUAUCAUCAAAUCAAGAUGCAUCCUAGUGAUAUAGAGAAAACUGCAUUUCGGACCCAUGAUAGGCUUUACGAGUUUUUGGUUAUGCCUUUUGGGCUAACCAAUGCUCCUGCAACAUUCCAGUGCCUUAUUAAUGAAAAUUUUCAACCAUAUCUCAUAAAAUUCAUUCUAGUUUUUUUUUUUAAUUUUUAAUUUUUAGUUUUUAUGAUAUAUUGGUUUAUAGCCAAUCUUGGGAAUCACAUCUGGAUCAUCUCCGAACUGUUUUCCAAGUGCUGCAAGCUAAUACACUGUUUGUUAAGAAGUCUAAGUGUGCAUUUGGUCAAACUACUGUGGAAUAUUUAGGACAUAUUGUCUCUCAAGAAGGUGUAGCAGCUGACCCCUCUAAACUGGAAGCCAUUGUUAACUGGCCAGACCCCACUUCCAUUAAAGCACUGAGGGGGUUCCUUGGCUUCACUAGUUACUAUCACAAGUUUAUUCCAGGAUUUGGGAGAAUAAUCUGUCCAUUGACAGUGCUCAUAAAGAAAGACAACUUCCAUUGGUCUAAGGCUACCACCACUGCAUUCAAUGAACUUAAACGAGCUAUGUUGUCUCCUCAGGUUUUAGCCCUUCCUAAUUUUUCUCAACCAUCUGUCAUUGAAAUCGAUGCAUCCAAUUUUAGGAUUGGAGCUGUUUUGCAACAAUCAGGUAGACUAAUUGCGUUUACGAGUAAAGCUCUUAGUGUGAGGAAUCAAUCUUUGUCAGCUUAUGAAAGAGAAAUGAUGACGAUUCUUCAUGCCAUCAAGAAGUGGCAUUCAUAUUUAGUUGGCAGGCACUUUAUCAUCAAAACAGAUCAUCAUAGCUUAAGUUCUUCCUCCAAAAUAGAGCAAAUACCUCAUUUCAGCAAAAAUGGGUCUCUAAGUUGUUGGGGUUCGAUUAUGAAAUUCAAUAUAAACAAGGUUGUGAUAACCAAGUGGUGGAUGCACUGUCCAGAAUUCCCAUUGAUGACCACUCUCAGAGUUCUAGUAAGUUCUUGUCUACUAUCUUCUACCCGUAUUUAAGUUGGUUAGAUGAUCUAAGACGUGAUAGUGAACAAGAUACUUGGAUUAAAAACAAGAUUUAAGACGUUUUAUAUCCUUCUGAUUCUAUAGUGCUUAGUACUCUGCAGUAUACAAUGGAAAAUGGUUUUUUAAGGUACAAAAACUUAAUUGUGUUAAGCCCUACAAGUUCUUGGAAAUGCAAAGUUUUCGAGGAGCAUCAUUGCAGACCUAUUGCAGGUCAUGCUGGGUUUCUCAAAACUUAUAAGUGAAUAUCUCAAACUUUUUAUUGGAAUGACAUGAAGAAAGACAUCAAGGAAAUGGUAUCCAAUUGUCCAGUUUGUCAACAACAAAAGUAUGAGACUCUUGCUCCAACGGGCUUAUUGCAACCAUUACCCAUUCCUACUAGGAUCUGGACUGAUAUUUCUAUGGACUUCAUCAUUGGGCUGCCACCAUGCAAAGGAAAAACUAUUAUUUGGGUGGUGGUGGAUAGGCUUUUGAAGUAUGCUCAUUUCCUUUCACUUUCUCAUCCAUAUACUGUUGCUUCUGUGGCACAAUUAUUUGUGGAGCAAAUCUUCAAACUCCAUGGAAUGCUCGCUUCAAUUGUGUGUGACAGGGACCCAGUUUUCAUGAGCAAGUUUUGGAAGGCAUUCUUUGAUUUACAAGGGUCUUCUCUGUGUUUUAGUUCGGGCUAUCAUCCACAAACGAAUGAGCAAACUUAAGUCAUUAACCACUGCGUAGAAACAUAUCUUAGGUGCUUUUGCAGUCUCCAACCUAAGAAAUAAGCAACUCGGUUGCCAUGGGCAGAAUGGAGUUACAACAUUGCCCAUUAUUCAGCAACAAAAUAAGCCCUUAUGAAGCAGUGUAUAGGCAAUCACCCCCUGAGGUUCUAGUAUAUGAAGCUGGUACUACCAAAUUGGAGAUAGUUGACAAGAGCUUGAUCGAGAGAAAUAGAAUACUCUCUCUCUUAAAAGCUAAUCUGGCUACUGCCCAGAAUAGAAUGUCUAUCCAAGCCAAUAAGCACCGAACUGAGCUUUACCUAAGACUGGUCCCUUAUCAACAUUUGUCCUUAGCUGCUCACCCAUUUCAUAAGCUACAGCUUAAAUUCUAUGGCCUUUUGAAGUAUUAACCAAGAUUGGUACUAUGGCAUACAAGCUCAAGUUGCCCGAGACAUCUAAAUUGCAUCCAGGCUUUCAUGUUUCUUGCCUUAAGAAACAUUUGGGACCUACUAUGCAGCCUACUAGUCAAUUACCUUUACUCACUGAUGAAGGGAUACUGCAAGAUGUGCCAGUACGAAUUUUGGAAAGAAAGUUAGUCAAGAAGGGCAAUUCAGCUAUAACCGAGGUGCUAGUUCAAUAGCAAGAAGAUGCAACUUGGGAGAAUUAUGCAGACUUAAAAUCUAAGUUUCCAAUGGUGGUUUAUCUAUAAUCAUGUUCUGCUGUGUUGUACUGUUGCUUAUGAAUUGGUUGUGUACUUUUUGUGUUUUUUCUUUUUUAGAAGUCUUGUGAUACAAGCCUUGUUUUGAGGGGGGUAUUGAUAGGAUACUGGGGGCUUGGUGAUGACUCAACAUGUUGAAUUGAUGAUGUGGCAGUAUUGUUCGGAUAGUAUUGUUGAGUCAUCAAUAUCUGUUAAGCUGUUAGGCAAUUAGGAGUUGGUGGCUUAAAGGUUAAGCUACCUAGUGCUAUAUUAGGAAGGAUUGUAAAAGAAGGGUUGUGAUUGAUUUUUUUAUUGUAAUAAGAAAUACUUUGUUAUGGUACAUUGAGUGAGAUGCAGAGUUAUGGUAGUAUCACAACGAGAUCUGUUUUGCUUGUAGGGAUUUAGGGGGCAGGGCAACGAGCUACUGCUCUCUGUUUGGUUUUAAGAGUGUAGGUAACGGGGUUAAGAGAUGAAAUUGAAGGCAAUCGAGGGCCGGUCCCCCUUUAAUUAUUGUUUUUCUUUUAAUCGUAUACCAGAAAUGAUGACGUUUCACUAAAGAAAUAUUAAAAAAAAAAAUUAUCCAGGACCAAAAUGAGGUCGUUUUGGCAUGGCUUUUUGAAAAAAAAAAAAAACAAAACCAAACACAGAGCAGCAACAACCCAAAUGAACAUAGACAAAACCACCACAUCAGCAACCACUUCCGACGGGAUCAGAGGGGUGAAACCACCGCUCCUGGGCUUGAUUUCCAGCGAAGGGAGAGGCAGCCACCACUCCUUGCUCCUAUGUAGCUUCGCCACUAUUCAUACCCUCCACAUUUUUUUUUUAAAUGCCAAGUUUGCCUAGGGUGCAUAUGUAGUAGUUUGGAGAUGAUGACCUAAACAAAAACAGUUAAAGAAAUUAAAGUCUGCCUAUAGUGUAUUUCUAGUAGUUUGGAGAAACGCUUAAUUGCAGAACGAGAUUGCAAUGAAAUAGGUCUUGUUUGAAGGAAAAGAAAAAAAAAACCAGAUUUUAAAGAGGUGGAAAAGGGGAAAAAUUAUGGAUUAUAUUAUAAAGAGUUAGAAAGUUUCAUUAAUUUAUAAGUAUAUGUUGCAAUGGAAAUUAAAGUUAGGGUAAAUUACACUUUACCACCUCAAGUUUGGAGUUGGUUUCAAUUUCUUACAACAUCUUUAAAACAUUUUAAUUUCAUACCUCAAGUACUAUUUUAUUUCAAUAUAAUACAUCUGUUACUUUUUCCAUCCAUUGAUCCGUUAAGAGCUGACGUGGCUGCCACAUUUGUGCCACGUGACUACCAAAUAUGUGCCACAUGGUAAAAAAAAAUUUAAUUAAAAAAAACCUGAAUCUUCUCAAAAAAAAAAAAAAAAAAAAAAAAACAUCUUCCUUCCCCGAGCCGUUUCUCCUCUUCACCCCCAAGCCCUUUCUCCUUUUGGCGACCUGGGUUUGCCGUUGUGGCCCAAUCGGCCGGUUCUCCGUCGACGUCAUGAUCGUCCUCGCCCAGACCUGGGUUUCGAAAUCCAUGAAAUUUCUUGAGCAUUGUUGUCGACAAGGGCGUCCACGAGAGCCGUAGCGAGGAAUUUGGAAUUUUGGGUUAGAGAAGGAGGUGCAAAAUUAAUGGGGGAAGAGAGUGGGUGAUGGGAGAGGGAAGAAGGGGGUGGGCCCGAGUGGGGAGGAUGAUGAUUGGGAAUUUUGGUUUUUUUUUUCGGCCACCUUCAUCCCUUACUCCCUUUCAUCGAACACCUUCUCUUCAUCUUUUCGUCUUCCUUCUUCUUCUGAUAAUUUCCGUUUCAGUAUUUUUUAUUUUAUUUUGAUGUGCUUGUUUCUUUUCUGUAUUUUGAAGAUGCUAUCAAGCAAAUUAAAGUCGGCUGUUUCUACCAAAGCGACCAGUCUAAGCUCCAGGGAAGAGCUCAGGGACGUAUAGAUGGUCAUGGUACUAUUUCAUAUUUUCAUAACCAUAAAACCUACUGAUCAUUUUCACCAUUGUUCUUGAUCUGGAUUGUAUUUUUCAAUAUUUUUUUUUUUUGUCAGGUUUCAAUUAAAUAGGGUUUUGAUUUGGGGUUGUUUGAUUUGUAUACAAGUGAGUGCGAAGGGGGUUUUUUAUUUGGUUUCAAUCAAAUAGUUUUUUGAGUUAGUUUCAAUCAAAUUGUUUUUUUAGUUGGUUUCAAGCAUCGAAAAAAUUCAAAAUUUGAGGGACAAAAACCAACCGACUAGUCGACGAGCCCACUCGGCGAUGCGUUGGGAGCAGGGUUUGGAUGGGGGAGAAAGGUUAGUGCGAGUUGCAGAUGAGAGGAAGAAGGUGGGUGUGAGUUGCAGAGGAGAAAAGGGUGGGUGGGGUUGCAGAUGAGAGAAGGGAGAAAGGGGGUGGGGGUGAAGAGAAGAAAGGGCUCGGGGAAGGUGGGGGUGGGGUGGGGUGGGAUGAGGUGGGUUUUUGGAUGGGAGGGGAGGUGAAGAGAGUGGAGGAGAGGGAGGUGGUGGGGAGGGGUUACGGGGAGGUGGGGGUGGGGGUGGGUUCUAAGUUUUCUGUUUUUUUUUUUUUUUUUUGAGAAGAUUCAGGUUUUUUUUUUUAAAUUAAAAAAUUAUUUUUUUGCAACAUCAUCUCUUAACGGACUAAUGGAUGAAAAAUGUAACAGAUGUAUGAAAUUGAAAUAAAAUAGUACUUGAGAUAUGAAAGUGCAAUGUUUUAGUGAUGUUGUAAGGAAUUGAAAUCGACCCAAAAUCUGAAGGGGUAAAAUGUAAUUUACCCUUAAAGUUAUUAUCUAGCACAUAAAUUAACUUAUUCAAAACAUUGGCAGUUUAGUAAUUAUACUAGUUUUAAUUGCAAUUCAGAGAUAUUUGGUAAACAACUAUUUAGAAUCAGCAUUAUUCCUACUCUGAUUCCAGACAGUUUAGUAAACAACUUUCAUAAGAAUCUUAUUUUAAUUUUUCGUCAAUUCAACUUCUCCUCAAUUCAAUUCAUCUCAAUCUAAUUACGGAUUAGUAAAAGUUGAUUAUGAAAUGCAGGCACUAAUGAGGAGAGAUAAGCCAAGCACAAGACUUGUAACCGUUAAGGCCUUCGCAUCGCAAGUACCAUUAUAAUAUAUUUUAAAAUUAUUUCUUAUUUGCUACCUACCUGUAUUAUUUGUUAUUUGCAACCUUUCCGUAAAAGGCAGGAUGUGCCCUAUUAGGCUUAGAGUUAGACUCAAGUCUCAACCUUUUCAUACAAUUAAUCAUUUUAUUGUCUUGCUUAAUUACAAACCUACAUUAUUAGGCUCAACUGUCAGAAGACCAAAUGUAAGCCUAUAUAUGUUAUUUUUUAUAUACUUUUUUUUUUAUUCAAUGAGGAUGAUGAAGGAUUAGGCGAGUUAAACUACUCGUAAGGAUUGGUUAUUGAACUACAAAAGUAGCCUUAGGCCUCGUUUGACAGCUCGAACUGUAUUGACUAUUUAUGUCAGAUAGGAUAAAUAGCCACUGGACAAUACUGACUAAAUUAGUCUGACGUUUGAUGCAGUAUCAAACUAAUGACCGUAUUAUUUAUACUGUGUUUGGUACUGAACUGGAUAAUCUUAACAUGAACAUUCUCAGCCACCAGCCACCAUCUCUUUCUUAACCUUGAAUAUUCUAAGCCAUCAGCCACCCCCUCUCUCUCCUCUCUCUUUCUCUCCCCGCACCGCCGCAUUCUUCGACCCCUCACAUUUCCAUAUCCAGUCAAAAAGAGCAACAUGUUAGCAUCAAACCUGCCAAAGAGCCCCUUCUUCCCCACCCGCUAUGUCCCAGUCUCCCCUCCUUCCACAUCACCAGCAGCGUCUCGCAGCUGCAAUCAGCGGCGGAAGCAGUGAACGGCAGCGGUAGAGAAGAGGGAGGGAGAUCUGGUAGCCAGAAGAAGAUGCAGGGAGAGAAGAGUCUUGUUCUGGAUGGUUGGAUGAAACCUGGUGGUGGUGGUGGUUGGUGGCCGGCAGAGGAAUUGGGUUUUGGGAUUUGUGGGAAUAAGGGGGAAGAACAAAGGAAGGGGAAAUGAAGAAGAAGAUGCUCGGUGUCACAAACCUCCCCCUCCCUAAAGUUGCAAUGCUCACUAUCACAGACCUCCCCCUUUUUCUCUGCACCUUAGCAUCUCUUCUUCUCUGCACCUCAUUGCAUAUCAAUGUCGGCGAGAUGAGGUGACGGCUAUAGGAGAUGACCGGGAGAACGACAAUGACGAGAGGGACAACGGCGAGAGAAGGCGUCGUGGAUAACGAAGUGCGAGAGAGAAGAAAGGGAACCGGACUAAUAAUCCCCUCCAUUUGGAAGGGUUUAUUAAGAAGGUGUAUACCCGACUAUCCUGUCUAACUACUUAAAUUAAUCCGGCGACUAUUUAGUACGAAAGGACACCAAACGGCUGGGUCCGUACUAUUAGUCCUAUCUGAUCCCUUAUACAGCGUGCCAAACGAGUUCUUACUUUCUAACACGCACUGAACGGUCAAAAAGAAUCAAGAUCCAGAAUUUGGCUAUCAACUACAAAAGUAAACUACUUCAUUCUCGUUCAGAGCGAUUAGAAAAAGCUAACUUCCCGAUAGAACAACCCCACCCUGUCCCCCCAUCUCCGAAAUUUUAUUUAAAGUUUUACAUCCGAUGUGGGGCGCUAGGCUCUAGGGAUUGUUUACAUGCGUAUAAGAGCUAGAGAUAACUUGUAUAUAUAUGUUAUCAGUAAAGAAAGUAACCCAACGUUGCCACUCGCACUUGGCAAUGCAUAUGUAAUUUGGUUGUGGUAAUUCUGCUUAUUGUCUCUUUACUAGUUAAUUGCGCUAAGCCUAGAUUCAUUUAUUUUUUUUUAUUUAUUUUUUUUCUUCAACACUCAUUUUUGAGAGCGAGAAAACUAAUCAUAGUCCAAUUCAGAGAAAAGUUAUUUGUUUAGUAUGAACUGGAUCAUAGUAUCGAAAUUCUUGGUUGUUAGAUCCUUAUUUGCACAUUUUACCGUUCAUUCAAUUGGUCCAUAUUAAGUGGCUUUAUAUCCUAGAGUAUUUGCAGAGGUAAUCUAUAAGGAGUAUUUUGACAAUAACCUCUAUCCAUACCCCAUGACUUAGAUAUAUGGUGCUAAUGAUUUUGAUAAUUUGGUGUGAGCUCAUGGCAUGGAGUGCUUAUGUUGCCUUCAUCUUAAACACUUGGAUACCCCAAUAUGUGUGGUUUUAUUGCAAAAGAUUUUGUACUCAGUAGUAGAAACAGUUAGUACUAAGUUAGUUAUUGCAAUUUAGUAAGUCCUAUUUCCGACGUGUAAUUUUAAAUUCUUCAACAUUUACGAGGUGGUUCAGACUUGUUGUCAAGGGUUUAGAGACCUUAAUCUUAACCUAAAAAGUUUAUUUAACUUUUUAAAUACAAUUGAUACUAUAUAUAUCAAAAAAAAUUGAUCGCUGACUACAUGUGUAGAGAUGAAUGCUCUUAUUUAAUCUUAUUAUAUGAUUAUGUGUAGGUUGAGAGGUGUAUUACUGCUUGCUUGAUAAACAUUUCAUUUUUAAGUUUUAAUUUUCACGUUUUUUGCUUCAAAUACGAGAAAGGAGAGUUGAAGAAGGAUGAUUGGAGGGAGGAGAACAAAGAAUGAAUGAGAAUAAAAUCUUAAAAGUAAAAAUAAUUUAAAAUAGUUUUUGCUUUUUUGUUUUCAUUUUUUGUACCUUUUACGUUUUUCACAAUCAUUCUUCCACUUUUCCAUAUUCCUCUUAUAUUUUCAAUUGAGAUCAAGAUAUUAAAAAGAAAAACAUAAAAAUAAUAACUAAAAACAGUAUGGUGGUAAAUUACACAAAACUACCUCAAUUAUGGGUCGAACCACAAUAUCAUACCUCAUGUUUUGAACAUUGCAAUUUCAUACCUCAACUUAUGGAUUCGUUGCAAUGUCAGACUUCCGUUAAAGUUUGUGUCAAUUUGAUUGUUAAAUAAUGACGUGGCAGAAGUGGGGCCCACUCAUUCCCUAGCUAAAAUAAAAAAUUAAUUAAAUAAAAUGAAUUUAACAAUUAAAAUGAAUUAAAAAAAGAGUAGUGCUAUUGAUAUCAUGUUUUUAUACCACAUUUCUAUACCACCUUAGAUGACAUCUGAUGUUGACAGCUACAUCAUUUGAAUUAAUCAGAUUUUCAAAUGAUGUAACUGUCCAUAUCAAAUACCACCUAAAAUGAUAUGAAAAUGUGGUACAAAAACAAAGUAUGAAUAGCGUUACUCUUAAUAAUAAUAAUAAUAAUAAUAAUAAUAAUCUCUUCCUCAAACAUUUUCCAAUUCCCCAAGUCUGCUCCACUACCUUCUCAUCCCCCCAUUACCAACUGCAUUCCCAAAGACCUGAACCGUCCACCCAUCUAUCCUUCUUAGUUGUCCUCAUCGUUCUUCUCCUCAACCACCUCUUCCUCUCCCCACCUCUGCUCUUGACUUCCUCUUCAACUCAUUCUCCAACAUCACCAAUGCCACCGACCUCACUCUCAUCAAUGACGCCUGACUUUACGCCGCCAUUCGCCUCACAAAUAACACCAACCAGUUCGCCGUCAGUUGCGUCUUCUACCCAACAAAAAUUCCCAUAAAACCCACCUCCAACUUCACCUCCGUCGCCUCCUUCACCACCUCAUUCAUCUUCUCCGUCCUCUCGAAAAUUACAUCAAUCCCGAGAUUCGGCCUCUGCUUCGUCCUCUCCAACUCCACCUCGCUUCCCAACGCCUUCACCAGCCAAUACUUUGGCCUCUUCACCAAUGCCACCGUCCAUUCGUGGUAAGUUCCAGUUGCUCCAAGGGGAACAAGUUUCAGGAAAGAGAAAAGUUGCAGAGAAAAGGAAAAUUGCAGAGAAAGAUAAGUUCUAUUUCAUAACUCAAAUGAGGUUGCAACGGACUAGUAUAUCCCCACAUCAUCCACUACAGACAAAAGACUUAGGUAACCCAAGUGCUGAGUCACCGCAUUCUUAUAUUCCACUACGAGGCAGGUAAAUUAACCAAUGCAUGAGUUAAAUGAGUGCAGGGUCCUAACAUGGCACCCCCUAGAGAACAAGCUUGUCAUCAGGCUUCAAAAUCUGGAAAACGGCUCAAGAUAGAGUCAGCGUCCUCCCACGUGGCGUCAUGCUCCGGCCGGCCUGCCCACUUAAUAAGCCAGCGAGUGACCGCUAUGUUGGCACGUUUGAUCAUGCCACGUUGCAGGAUGUGUUCCGGAAACCACAUAAAAGAGCCAUCAGAAGAGACCUGUGGGAGAGUUGCAGAGGUAAUUGUGUGAGCACCAACCUGGGGCUUCAGCAGAGAGACGUGAAAGGUGGGAUGAAUGCGUGACUGAGGGGGAAGCGCCAAGGUGUAAGUGACUAGUCCAACUCUGGCGACCACUUGGAAGGGACCGUAGUAGUGAAGAGCCAGUAUUGGGCAAUGAGUUUUGGAAACGGAUGUCUGCCGAUAAGGAUGGAGUUUGAGGAAGACCCAAUCACCUAUCUGAAAGAUACGCUCCGACUGAUGCUUAUCAGCCUGUUGACGCAUCCUCUGCUGCGCUAUCAGCAUAUUCUCUCGAAGUUGCUUGAGUAAAGUGUCACGGUCGAUAAGGGUGAGAUCAACCAAGUGAACGGCCGAAGAGCCGGGAAGGUAAGACGUCACAGAGGGUGGAGGGUAACCGUAAACUGCCUGGAAAUAUGACAUCUUGAUGGAGGACUGAAAAGUAGUAUUAUACCACCAUUCGGCCCAUGGAAGCCAGCGUAUCCAAGUACUCAGCUUGUCCAUGACAAAGCUUCUGAGCUAGUGUUCCAAUGUGCGGUUGAGAACAUCUGUUUGACCAUCCGAUUGUGGAUGAUAGGCUGAAUUUUUACAAAGCACUGUCUGUUGAUGUUUGAAGAAGGCAGUCCAAAACUCACUUAUGAAAAUUGGAUCCCGGUCACUCACAAUGGACGCUGGCAUCCCGUGCAACCGAAAGACUUCCUAGAUGAAGAUAUCGGCAAUUUGAGGGGCUGUAUACGGGUGCUUUUUAGGUAUAAAGUGGCCAUAUUUGGAGAGAUGAUCCACUACGACCAAGAUAGCAUUCCAGCUGUGGGCUACGGGUAGACCUUCGACAAAGUCCAUGGCAAUAUCUGUCCACACUUGGGUGGGAAUGGAAAGGGGCUGUAAUGAUCUCGGGGGUUUGAUUGUCUCAUAAUGGGUGCGUUGGCACACAUCACAAGCUACCACGAAUUGCUUGACAUCCUUUUUUAGGCCCGGCCAGUUGAAGUUGUGGGUGAGGCGCUUGUGAGUGCGCAAAAAACCAGAGUGACCCAAAGACGAGAAGGCGUGGAACUCCUUAAGAAAGUGGGAACGCCAUAGAGACGUGGAAGGGACAAAAAUUCUUGCUUUGUAAUAUAGAAGAUCGCCUUGGAGCUGAAAUGAGCGAUGACUGGUUGAGUCCUUAUGCAAUGUUGUGAGAAUGGCCGAGGCUUGAGGGUCCGUGGCACAGGCUACUUGUAUCUCGGUCACAUAAUCAAACAUUGGCUGAGAGAGACCCAUUAAGGAGAGUAAUUCAAGACGACAGGACAAGGCGUCGGCAGCGGCAUUGGAAGCCCUGGAACGGUACUCCAAAGUAUAGUUGUACCCGAGAAGCUUCAGUAACCACUUAUGUUGUGCUGGAGUAGUAAUGCGCUGGUCCAAGAAAUAUUUUAAUGUCUGAUGAUCCGUGAGGAUUUUGAAAUGAUGGCCAAUCAAGUAUGGACGCCACUUUUAGACCGCAAAGACGACCGCAAGCAUUUCCUUAUCAUACACCGAGAGAGAUUGGUGUUUGGGAGCAAGGGGCUUACUGAGGAACUCGAUCGGGUGGUUGUCUUGGGAUAACACAACGCCAAUACCAACAUUGGAGGCGUCACACUCAAUAGUGAAAGACUUGGAAAAGUCGGGCAGCGCCAAGACUGGGGUGGUAAACAGCGCACCUUUGAGAGCAGAGAAAGCAGUGUCUGCGUCCUGGGACCAAAGAAAGUUAUCUUUUUUUAGUAAGUCGGUGAGUGGUUUGGCAAUAAAACCAAAAUGUCGAACAAAUCGACGGUAAUAUCCAGCGAGACCCAAAAAGCCGCGAAGGGCCCGGACACUAGUGGGUGUCGACUAGUCCACAAUGGCAACAAUUUUGGAAGGAUCGACCGUGACGCCUGCGGUUGAAAUGAUAUGACCCAAGUAAGCAAUGGAGUCCUGACCAAAUAGGCAUUCAGACAACUUCAAAUGAAGGUGAUACGCCUGUAGGAUGUCAAAGACCGCAGCCAAAUAGGUAACAUGUUGAUCCAAUGAAGCACUGAAAACCAGAAUGUCGUCAAAAAACACCAAGACGGAUUUCCGGAGCAGUGGUUUCAAGAGGGAAUUCAUCAGAGCUUGAAACGUUGUUGGGGCAUUGGUCAGGCCAAAUGGCAUGAUCGUGAAUUCAUAAUGACCCUCAUGAGUGCGGAACGCCGUCUUGUGUAUGUCCGCUUCAUGCAUGCGGAUUUGGUGGUAGCCCGAGCGAAGGUCCAGCUUCAAAAAAAACAUAGCCCUCUGCAAUUCAGCCAAUAGUUCAUCAAUAAUGAGCACUGGAAAGCAAUCAUUGAUGGUUACAGAAUUGACUUCGCUGUAGUCCACACAAAAACGCCAUGAGGAGUCUCCCUUGGCCACCAACAAUGCAUGUGAAGAAAAGGGGCUCAGGCUAAGGCGAAUAAUGCCCAUGGCAAGCAUCUCGUCAACUUGGCGCUCGAGUUCAGCCUUCUGGGCAUGCCUAUAACGAUAUGGCCAGACAUUAAUCGGACCCGUGCCAGGAAGAAGGGGAAUCUGAUGGUCAAUGGCACAGUUUGGAGGCAAGGUUGUUAGUGGUAGAAAUAGGGCAUGAUAUUUGAGGAUAAGAGUUUGAAUGCAAGCCGACGUUGGUGUAGGGAUUAGAGAAGAUGAGGUGAGACUGGAGAGUUAUGCAACCACUCGGAAAAAGUCUUGAGGGGAAUGGACGACAGUCCCGGACACAGGAAAACCGACUGUGGGUGAGGUGGAAGAGCCCACCAAACGAUAGUUUAUCCCAUGCAUCGAGAAUUCCAUGAUCCGGAGGAGAAAAUUCCACCCAAUAAAGCCCAAAGUCUCCAACUAGUCGAUUCCUAAGACCAUGUCACAGCCCACAACGGCGAGGAGAUGGAAGUCAUUAAUAAAGUAUACCCCUAAAGGCACACAGGCACCUGGUGCGCCACGCCCUUUGUAUGAAAACAGCGGCCCGUUGCCACCAUUACGGCUUCUGUGCGAGAGGGAUCCACGUGCAACCCCAAACGAGCCACCAUGUGUGGGUUAAGAAAGCUUUGGUCUGCCAUAGAAUCGAUAAACACCUGGAGUGGUUUUUUGUGAAUGAAACCCUCCAAACGCAUAGCUUGACCACGGGCAUGCUUAGCGACGGAUAUGGCAUUGAAGGCAAUCAGAUGUUCAGGGUGUUCAACCACGGUCGGGGGUGGGGGAACAGUAUCAUCUAGUUCUGGGACAAGAUCCGUGGCAUCAUCUUCCGCCAGGAGAAGUAGGAUAUGUGAUUGUCAGCAACGAUGACCCGGAUGAUAUUGCUCAUCACAGUUAAAACAGAGGCCUUGUUCACGACAGGUGCGCAUUUCAGCUUGGGUGAGCCGAAGGAUCGGCUUAGGUGUUGUGGGUGUUGUGGGUUGGGGUGUGGAAUGGGAUGGGAUGGGAGAGGGUCGGGAAGGAAUGGUGGUGGGGAAUGGGUUGGUGGGAGAGGAAGAAAUAGGUUUGGGGGUAUAGGUGGGGACACGGGAAAACCUGGAGCGCACCGUGGUUCGACACCCCUGUUUGUGCUCGUAGAUCCGAGCUAGUUCGAUGGCACGUGCAAGCGAUGAAGGUGCCUGGUGAUGCGAAAAUUAUCUUAACACACAAAUUUAACCCUCUUUUGACAAUUGUAGUACAAGUAUAAGUAGAGAUCGUUCUGGACCGGGGUUUAGGAGGGCUUGCUAAAAACCUCUAAACUGACUCAAAAACAUAAAACUAAACUAAAAAAAAUACUUAACAAGACUCACAAGACUCAAAGCAAACUUAAAAUACUCAAAACAGCUUAAAACAAAUAAAUAAACUUAAACUAGACACUAUGAAUGACUUUGGACGAAAAUUGACUUUUACUUGAAUCAAAACACUUAAAAACACAAACUAAAACAGAUUUGAAACACUUUGAAACAAGAAACUAAAAGGGGGGUUUUGAUUUGGAUGAAGUUGAAACAAACAAACAAGUAUGAAAAACUAGACAGAUUGUAAAACGAAUGUGAGAAAUAAGAUGAUGGAUGGGAUAGCUAGAGGCUUUUUCUCCACACAUGACAUGUAUGCAAACAAUUCGAUUUCCAGUUACUACUUCAUUGAAUUAUGAACGACAAUGCUCCAAAUUAACUGUGACAUCACUAGUUAACUCUCAGAUUUUCCUUGUUUUAUUGGAUUGGAUGACAUCAUUCGACAACCCAAAACAUUCUUCUAAAGUUCCCUACAUGACAUCAUAAUAAAGAUACAAUCAAAGAUCAUUACGUUUAAUGAACAUCAUAAGCAUUGACAAAGUACUUGCAACUAUGACAUCAUGUCACUCAUGCUAGGAAUUGAACUUAACGCGAUCGUUUAUAAGCGACCUUCACUACAUGUGAAUAUAAGUUUGUAACGAUUAUGUGAAACUUCCUUAUAUUCUAGCAACGGAUUUAUACAUGCCAAUUAAGUGUCGACCCUUAAUUAACAAAUACAAAUAAGUUAUCAAUCAAAUAGUUAAGCCAAUUGCAUUCACGAUUCAAGAGUUCAUAACUGGAAUUUAUCAAAUUAUAUUGCAUACAUAAUCAUGGCUUUGAAAUCAGCCCUAGCCAAAAGGGGUUUAGUCACUCAUAUUUACAACAAAACGAAAGGAAAUGAAUUUAAACAUUAGAAACAAAAGAAAGAAAACACAUAAACGCUCCAACGAUCCAAGUUGGACAGCAAGCAUGUCUAAGCACUUUCCUUCCCUUUCUUUGCUACGGCACAAGGUGUUGGUGAGUGUUUGAAAGUUUGUUUGUAUAGAGGAAUGGAUGUGAAGAUGAAUGGAUGUGUUUGGAUGAAGGUUGUGUUAAAAUGAGAGUGAAUGAUCUAACCAAGUAUGAACCCAUUUAUGUUACACACACUUCCUUUUAUAGAGGAAGUGCAAGGCAAUGGAGGGGGACAUGGAGUGUGUGUGUAAUGAUUCAAAUGAGUGGACAAGAAUAUUGUGCACCAAGGCAAGGAAGUGGAAGGAUAAGUGAGUAAGUGGUGCAUCAACUUUGUCAAGGAAGUGGAAGGAAAAGUGAGUAACUGCACAUCAGCUUUGUCAAGGAAUUGGAAGGAAAAGUGAGGGAUGGUGCAGAAAUUUGAUGGUUAUGCACGGCAAAGGAAGGUGUUGUGGAAUGGUGAGUGAGUGGUGCAUCAACUUUGUCAAGGAAGUGGAAGGAAAAGUGAGGGAUGGUGCAGAAAUUUGAUGGUUAUGCACGGCAAAGGAAGGUGUGGUGGAAUGGUGCAUGAAAUAAUGAAGAGGACAAUGGUGAUGCAUGGCAUUGGUGGAAAGGUGAGUAAGUGGUGCAUCAACUUUGUCAAGGAAGUGGAAGGAAGAGUGAGGGAUGGUGCAGAAAUUGGAUGGUUAUGCACGGCAAAGGAAGGUGUGGUGGAAUGAUUAAUUUAGGUUAGGGAAUUAAAUCCAAAACUUAGAGAAAAUAGGAGUUAAAACCAAAAUCCCAAGGGAAUAAGGACAUAAGGUGCGGCUAUGCCCUAAUUCUAAAAGGGAAUGGGUUUUCUUGUGUUGCAAGGGAUAGGAAAAUGAAGGGAAAGGUGUGGCAACCUCCUAGAACAAAGACAUAGGUAUCCUAAAAAUGUUUAGGACUCCUUCUUUGUAGCUGAAAUUCUUAUGCACUAAGAUUAGGAAACUUUGAUUUGGUCAAUCCAUCUUCUUCCUCUCUUUGGCAGGUUCCAAACUUCUUUAAGUCUUCAAUUUCGUCCAUCUAUAUUGCUCCAAACAUAAGUUAUUCAAUUCAUGCCCAAGAUUGCUCCAAAAGGCUCCAAAAUGCACCUUUGUGCAUAGUUUGUCCUUAGAACCUGAAAUUGCACGAAAAUGACUUUAAACACUAAAAUAACUAAGGAAUAACAACAUAAGAGCAUGAGAACAAGCUAACUCAGUCACAUAAAUAUGCUCUUAUCACCUGGGCAACCACAUCAUCUUGAAGUUCAUCCUUGAGACCCCCUAAGAAUGCUUCUAAGAGUUGAGCGUUGGUCCAAUCAGGUGUGCGGCAUGAGAGCCGGAUAAAAUGCCCCACGUAAGCCUUAACCAUGGUUGUCUGUUGGAUGUGAGAGAAAGCCAUGUUGAAAUUCAAGGAGUUAGAUGGUCCAAACCAGUGAAGCAACUGGGUGGUGAAGGUGGACCACGAGGUGAAGGGAUAUCUCAGUUUCAACCAACGGAGCCAGUAGGCAACGGAGCCAGUGGGCAACUUCGCCGCCGAGAUGGAGGCCCGCUAUGGUGACACGGGGGUGGUUGUCAACCUCGUGGUACUCCAAAAAUACUUCCACCAUAGCGAUCCAGCCAUAAGGGUAGUCCCCAAAGAAGUGAGGAAAUUCAAUCUUGAGAUGUCGAGGUCCAGAAACGGUGGGGGAAAAAGGUAAGUUGGGUGUAAAUCCGUACGGCUCUAGAGUUAAGUGAGGAAGGAGCAGGCCACUGGAGGAAGGGGGAAGAUAUUUGGAGGUUGAAUGGCGACUAAGAGAGGGGUGUGGGUCAGGAAAGAGCAGGGUGAAAAGAAUGAAAGAUGGACUCGCGGCUAAAUGGGAUCCGGGUAGGUAGGUGUUGGUGAUCGGUUAGGAGGGAGAGAAACCCCAUUAGGGUGUUGGUAUAGGAGUAGUAAUGGAGGAAAAAGGGGUGGACCCGAGGGAAAUGGGGAUGGAGCCAAUGGGUAUUUGGGUGCUGGGUUGGGUGUGGGGUGGCUGCCUGAGGGAACGGACUUCAUCAAGGAUGGUUUGUUGAACUUGGUCUUGGCGGAGGUGGUGGACGGACAAAUCUGCUAUGGAGUGCUGGAGGUCUGCAAUGUGAUGUUGGAUGUCUUCAUAGCGGCUGUUCACCAUCGACAAGGAUUCUUGAAAUUCCUGGAGUUGCUGGUGCUGAAGCUCACGAUCCCACUCAGCCGCCGUCAUGUCGGCGACCAUAACUGAGGCCUUGCUCUUGCCCAUUGAUGCACACCUGGGCUCUGGAUACCAAAUGGUAGGUUCCAGUCGCUCCAAGGGGAACAAGUUUCAGGAAAAAGAAAAGUUGCAGAGAAAAGGAAAAUUGCGGAGAAAGAUAAGUUCUAUUUCAUAACUCAAAUGAGGUUACAAUGGACUAGUAUAUCCCCACAUCAUCCACUACAGACAAACGACUUAGGUAACCCAAGUGCCGAAUCACCACAUUCCUAUAUUCCACUACGAGGCAGGUAAAUUAACCAAGGCAAGAGUAAAUUAGUGCAGGGUCCUAACACUUCGUCGCCCCAUUGCUCGCCGGCGAGUUCAACACGGGUCGUAACCCAAAAUUUAACCACCCAAAUGGGAAUCACAUUAGAACCGACGACGUCGAUUGAGCUGCUGGCGGAGGCCUGGCAGAUAUCAAAAAGGCCAUCAAAUACAAGGUAGUCCUCGCCGACAUUGAAACGCCUAAGGUGACGGGAGUGGACGGAAUCGGUGAGGGUCUCGAGGGGUUUUUUUUGAAAAAAUUGAGGAACUGGAAAAUUUUGGGGAAUGGAAAAAUUUGAGGAAGAAAUAUUUUUUUUAAUUCAUUUUAAUUGUUAAAUAAAAAUUUAAUUUUUAAUUUUAGUUGAGGAAUAAGUGGACCCCACUUCUCCCACAUCAUCAUUUAACAACCAAAUUGACAGAAAAUUUAACGGAGGCCUAACAUUGCAACGAAUUCAUAAGUAGAGGAAUGAAAUUGCAAUGUUUAAAACAUGAAGUAUGAGAUUGUUGUUCGACCCAUAGUUGAGGUAGUUUUGUGUAAUUUACCCUUUUUUUUAACAAACGAUAUCAUUUACACGAAUGCGAGGGGGUAAGCUUAACCUCAUAAUGUACUAGCAAUAAUGUGGUUUAUAUUUAUCUUUAACAAAAAUCGAAUAUAAAACCUUUCAAAUGAAGAUGAUUACCACUAGACCAUAGUAAUAAGUGACUAUUAAACAGACUUCUAUAGUAUGCAAGUGAGACCAAACCCAAAAUGCAAGGUACUCUUGACUUCGAAACAAAGAAAGCACGAGCGAGAGAAUCUAAUCCCUAACAAAACAAUAGGAAAAGUUUGGUCGAACAAGAAGUAGGGGUGGGCAGGGGCCGGGCCGGGCUAAAAAUUGAAGGAACCGGACCGAAACAAUUUGUAAAUAACACGGGGCGGGUUUUGGAUUUUUCAAAAUAGGAUUCGGACUUGACCCAGCCCUUUUGAAACGGGCCGGUUCCUAUGGGUCCCCAUGGGUCCUAAGGUACGGCAGCAACGACCAUGAUGUCCUCUCCUGCCUCAAGUUCUUCGAUUGGGUCGACCGCCAGCCCAACUUCCACCACACCCACGCCACCUUUAACGCCAUCUUCAAGAUCCUUUCCGAGGCCAAACUCAUGUAUUUCAAAUCUGCUUCUUCUUUUGCUCAAAUUCAAUUUAAUUCAACAGAAGUUUCAAACUCAGUCGAUUCAAAUUCAAUUCAAUAAAAGAUUUGAAAUUGGAACAUAACAGAGGUCAAGGUUCAAGAACCCAAAAAAAUCCCUAUAUCUAGAAACCUAAUUUAAUUUUCAAUCCCAAAUCCCUAAAACGUAAUACCUUAGAACUGAAGAGGACUAUGAGUCAGGAGGAGAGAUCAACGUCUUCACAAGCCACAACAACACUCCAAUAAGAGACAAAGCAACUCACUCUUGGUCUCCAUCUCCACCUUCUUGUCAAACAUGAAAUGUCAUGUGGCCAAGCCAAAGGCAGUUCUGCACCGCCUUUCGAACUCCAUAUACGAAAUACAAAAUUCUCUUCCACAGAUAGAAAUUCCUCUCCACAAAAAACACUAUGAUCCUAAUCCCCCAACCCAAAACCAAUCUCCCGCAAAUCAAAACCAAAAUCAAGACCUGCCACUUCCACUAUAUCAAUUUCCACAAGUUUUCUACCCCAGAACUGGAAUCGCCAGCAUGCAAACCAAAACCGGCACUCUGCAGCUUCUGAUGAUGAAAUGAGAGAUCGAGGAGGAGAGAUUGAGGUAUGAGUGAAAUGAGAGGAGUUGGGAGGAGUCGGGAGGAGUCGGGAGGAGAUAUCGAGAAGACUGGGAUGAGCAAAAAAUUUCAACUCUAUUAUUUCAUGCUAGAAACGGGUCGGGCCGGGGGCCUGAACCACCCUACCUCGUUUUGUGUUUAGAAAUUUUGGACCCGCCCCGAACCUGAAUUACCCACCCCUACCUGUGGUUCCUAUACCCAUUUUCCCACCCAUACCAAGAAGCUUUCUAUUUUGGAGUCAAUUCUAAAAUAAACAAAUGCAACUGUAUGUAAAUUAUGACUCUCCUUGUAUUAAUUAUUAAAGAGAGUACAAUAUAUACAGUUAUAACAAUCUCUACUGUGAAAAGAAUCAUAUACUAAUAAUAAUUUGAUAAUUAUAGAAAAGAUUUUGGAGAUAAAGAUUCUAUUCUAACAUCGUCUCAAGUCGUUCCAAUGUCUCUAAUCUCUAAUAAAAAUGUUGUUGUAAUAAUAAAAAAUAAAAAAAGUUCGCAUUGCCAAGAUCUUGAAAGCAACCUUUCGACAAACCAAAAUAAGAGGACCCAAAGGAUGAUGAUUGCCAGCAACUUGCAACAUCAAAUGAAUUAUGAGUGCAAAGUCUAAUUCCACCAGUAAUUUAUUAAUCCAUAAUCUUCAUGCCAAUUGUAAAUCCAAAUAAAGUUCUCAUAGCUCAGCAGUGAGAAUCUCGCCUGUGCCCAAAUUUGGCACAAAACCCAAAAAUUCAUUUACCAUAAAAAUAUCUUAAAACACCACUUACAAGAAAUUAUUAUUUCCGCUCUUGCAACCAUCAACAUUAAGCUUAAACAAAUACGAAGAAGCUUACAAAUGGGGCAAAUAUUCGAUUCUAUGGGGUUAUCAAUCUUGUGAGUAUUAAACUUCAACCAUUCACAAAGAUUUUGUAGCAAAUAGUUUAACGACCUACAGUCUUAAUUUAGAUUUACACAACUUUUUACUUUGAUAAUUCUCCUUUACGUUCAUUUAGUUUUGUUCAUGAGGAUCAACAUGUGAUGUUCUAGUCUAGAUUUAUUAUUGAAUAAUUUUGUUUGGGUUAUUAGCAUUUAACCCAGUUUUUCAACCAAAACAGAAACAAAACAAAAAACAAAAAAGUUGAUUGUGAGACAAGAGAAUGAGUCAAGUCAAGCACACAAAAGACCCAUACUCUCACGGCCUUAGGGCCUUCACGCAGCAGGUAGGGUGUGUCGAUGAAGGGAUGACUCAAGCACUAAGACAUGUUAUAUCUAAAAGGCUAAAUCGCCAAAAUGGUUCCUGAGAUUUGCAUAACUCAUCACUUUGGUCCCUAAGAUUCCAAAUUGAUAAAAGUGGUCCCUGAGAUUGUCCACCAUCCAUCAUUUUGGUUCUUCCGUUAAAAACUCCGUUUAAGUGUCCCGGAGGAAGUUUGGGCAAUUUUCAAAGCUUCGUAACUCAAUCAUUUCUUAACCAAAGUCGACCCAUAAUAUAUCAAAAUGAAGAUAGGAAAGUGUAGAAUAAGAUUAUACCUAUUUAGAAUCCCAAUGGUUGCCGGAGAUGACCGGAAAAUAGCCUCAAAGUUGACUGGUCCGAGUGAAAACUUGGAAAGUCGCCCGAAACUGAAUAAACCUUAAACAUUCAUAACUUCUUCAAUACUCAACGAAAUCAAGUGAUUCAGAAAUGAAAAUCAUACUUCUCGAUGAGAAGAAGAGAAUGGUAGCUUUUUUUUAAUGCCUAACUCGCCAUGUUUUGGCCGGAAAACGGCUUAAAGUGGCUGUCUUGGUCUCAAGUUAGCCACUUUCGAGCUGUUUUUCGGCCAAACCACGGCGAGUUAGCCAUCGAAAAAGGUACCAUUCUCUUCGUCUCAUCAAGAAGUAUGGUUUUUGUUUUUGAAUAACUUGAUUUCGUUGAGUAUUGAAGAAGUUAUGAACGUUUAAAGUUUACCCAAUUUCCGGCGAGUUUUCAAGUUUUCACUUGGACCAGUCAACUUUGAGGCUAUUUUCCGGCCAUCUCCGGCAACCAUUGGGCUUCGAAAUAGGUAUAAUCUUAUUCUACACUUUCCUAUCUUCAUUUUGAUAUAUUAUGGGUCGAAUUUGGUUAAGAAAUGAUUGAGUUACGAAGCUUUGAAAAUUGCCCAAACUUCCUUCGGGACACUUAACGAAGUUUUUAACGGAAUGAUCAAAAUGAUGGAUGGUGAACAAUCUCAGGGACCACUUUUAUCAAUUUGGAAUCUCAGGGACCAAAGUGAUAAGUUAUGCAAAUCUCAUGAACUAUUUUGACGAUUUAGCCUAUCUAAAAUAGUAGUGCUAUUCACACCUUUUUUUACCUUACACACAUUUGUUAUUCUUACUUUCUUCGAUUCAUUUGAUUCGCCGACUUUUCUCCGACUUCGGUCACAAAGCUAAAGGUUUUCUCUCUAAUUCUUGUCCAGAUUUCUGUGUUUUUCGUUUCUUGCAUCGCAAAAAGCCUGUUCGAGGAUUCUCCUACAACUUACCUCUCUUGGGUUCCGGCAGACUUGCUUACAGUGGGAUAUUCCAAGGGCCAGAGGUUCAGUUUCUCAUCCCACAUUGAUGGCGGAGUGGUAUGUUCUUCUUAUAUUGGCACCCCCUCUAAAACCUUGGACAGAAAGUUGAGAGUAUUUUCGGGUUUGUAUUCAGAACCUUACAUGUUCAACCUCCGCGAAGAUUGGAGGACGAUCAAGUG
rnacentral:lncRNA from 1 species